GCCUAUCAAGUUUUUGACAUGGUCAUAACACAACAUCUACAUGAUCUCAACAUCUACAUGAUCUCAACAUCCAGCAGCUCAGCAUGGAGGCUUUCUCAGACGGCAAUGUGUGUGGCGCUCCGAUAGGGGCGACCCUCGACGGUACUUCCAGAAGAGCCACGAAAGUUGGGCUUUGAAGCAUGUAUCUCGAUACAGCGCAACACGAAUAAGUCACGGAUACAGAAAAUACUCCAUUAUUCUCUUGGCCCUACGUCGAGGCACGAUAAAAAGGAAGAGCGCGGCACGCACCAUCAUCGGCUGAACUCAUACCGUAUAAUCGUGAAUUCCAGGGAGUGAAGCAUGUGAGCCAGCAAUUAUCGUCGGGAAAAUGCCCAGGCUGGUAGCGUGUGAAGCAUCUUGGACAGUACUGGGGCCCUCAAAGAGCCAGUUGUGUUUACACUAGAUGUUUCUAGAACACCUGCGGCUUUUUGAACACCUGCCAGCAGAGGUGAGCCCUUUUGCGAACCUGACGGUGUCUGAUGGUUUUGUUGGCGGCCAAAGCCUUCAGGUCUUGUCUCAGUAGCUUAGCAGUACUUGGUGGACGCUGAUCUCUUGUGGGACUGGGCACCCUACUUGUGAUUGGCCCUUUCCUGUCUUGUGGGGGCACUUCUGAUCUAAUGUAGGAUUUGGCGGCGUCCUGCGUGAUGGUUAGGUUGUUCUCAUGAGCUGGAACAUCGCUGCUUUGUGUGGCUUUGCUGGACCCAUCCAUGUCUGCGUGUGUUGAUGAUUGCUCGGUGAUUGGGAGUGCUGUGCUGACCAUGUCCGUGCUACCUUUGCUCUGUUGGAAAUAGUAGAUCGAAUAUUGGAACUAGUAGAUCGAAAGUUGUUGUUGACCACACCAUUAGGAUGUGACCAUGUCUUGUCCGGUCUGUGCUCAGGCACACCAGUGUGUAGACACAGCACAUCUAAUCAGCCUGUAUUGGCUGGCACGAUGUAAUGUUUCUCUCUCUCUCUCUCAUAGAGGCAUAUUCAGACCCGUAGAAAAGUGGUUUUUCCUGGUUGUCCGCAUCCUCAGAGAUGUGCAAAGCUAAUAUAUGAUGCAGGCAGUGACAAAAUUUUCAUUGUUUUUUAGGCCAGUGAAUUGGGAUACAAAGAGUGUAUCUUAUGGAGGGAAGCCUGCUGGGCGCUAUUACAGGUUAGGACCUCAUGCUGCACUUUGGUAUCUGCUGCACCAUUUGCAACCCCGUGGCAAUGCAUAUCGCAGUAUGACCAGCACAAGCUAAUAUCAACAAGCAGAACACGUUCCAAGCACAAAUGCAGAGAACACCAAUGGCCCCAAGGCUUCAGCACACCAUACAAUAGCUGGCAUAUCUUCAUUCAAGCAGCAUCGAUGUUUGAUCUUGAUGUGAAUCCUGAGCUGCUUGAGAGCUACUUCCUCCCCUACCUGCAACACUUGGUCCUCUUGCAACGGGCGGCGUAUGAUGCACAUGGCCUAAUCUACGUAGACCAAUAACUGCUGCAGUCAGAGCAGAUUCUAUGGUCUUGCAUGUGCCGUGCGAGCCAUUACUUUCUACUGCACGCUGGGAGCGGGCUGACUUGUGAGUGUUUCACCGGCCGGCUGUGGCGCGGGCGCGGGUGCAGCAGCUUCAGGCCUCUUCACCUGCAUCACACGUUGAAAGUAUUAUUACUAGUAAUAUUACUAUCAUUUCACGCUAUUCCUGCCAAGUGGCAAGGUGCGCCUGCAGACCAGCUGCAGGUAAAUGCGGCCAUGAGCCUACCCCUUGUUGGACUCUCCAGAUCCAAAUAAGACCAAUCAUACGUGGGCACGGUGCUCAAUUUAUACCACCCCCCGCCAGCCGGGGCAUUGAAAGUUUAAGACCAGCAAAAGGUCCCCCAGCUAAGGCAAGCAAAUUUCAGUGAGCUGUGCUCAGCAAACCAUCAGCGAUAGAAAUGAACCCACAGAACACGUUUGCACAGUUUAUGAGUCCUGCAGCACACAGCACACAGCACUUCAUGACACCAGCAAAAGGUCCGCCCAGCGUUUGGCACCCCUUUGCAAACCAUGUUCAGCAAGCUCUCAGGAAACUCAUAUCAAACCAGAGCUGACGGUCCUCAUUGAAAGCCUGUCACUGCGCUGCAUGGAACUGUGAGGAUUUUUAGGUGUCACGAAUGUAAGAAAUAUACCUUCACAUCGACAGGCAGGACAACGUCUGGCAGGCUGACGAGGUCUUCCAUGUCAGCGUAGCCAGACGAUGAGUCAUCCUGCAGCAGGCCGCGCGUGGGGAUGGCCAUCGGCACCAGUGCGCGCUCUGGCGCACCUGCACACGCAACCAUUGCCAGGCUGAAGUUAUAAUUAUAAAUAUUAUUACUACUCUUAUUACACGCAUCUCCUGCCAAAAGGCAAGAUACGUCCUGCAGACAAGCUGCGGUUAAAGGCUGCCAAAAAUCCUACCCCUUGUUGGACUCGCCAGAUACAAGCAAGACCCAAUCAAUCGUGGGCACGGUGCUCAGUGUUUAUAUCGCCCGCCGCCAGCCGGGGCUGAGAUUGCAGACCUUUUAACCUUUCUUGCUCACAAGAGUCACCCGGAAAAUUGACAUUUGCAUUAUUGUAAGGCUGCUGUAACAAGCCAGACCUAAUUUCCCCGUCACACAAAGGCAAGUACAACCUUGACUGGCCACCCGAAGCAGCACUCAAAAGACUCAAGCAGUCACUUGUCAGGAACAGUACGGGCACGCGCCUAAUGUUUAACGACAUGCAAAACUGACACGUUUUCUUACAAAAGGAAGUUAACAGGCAAGAGAAUAAAGAUAGCACCUGCAGCAUCCGGCUGCACAGGGCCGCCGCUGGGCGCGAGCUGGAAGGCCAUGUCAAAGAGCUUGUUGGGGAAGUCCGGGGAGUUGGGAUCCUGCUGCAGCCGGCGGCGGCUCUGUGAAGAGUCAUCGUAUGAGUAAUCGGAUGAGUCAUCCGCGGCCGGCCCCGGGGCAACUGCCAUCUCCUCAAUCACGCGCUCAAAGUCCGCCUGGUGAAAUAUCCCAUGACUAAGUAUUACAGUCGUCUCAUAGUUGGCGAUCCAAAGAGCUAGGUGUUAUGAGGGAUACAUGUGAUCAGGAUUGAUUGCAAUGCUGGCUCUACACUGGUGCAGACACCACACUCUCAUGUUGCAGCAUCUGAGAUACUGACAGAUGAUUGGUGUACAGAGAAGACAGAUCAAUUUCAAAAAACAGUGCAAAGGACCAUGCUAGUCAAAUCGCGUGCAUGGCUCCAUUCAAUCUGUCCUUUAACAGGAAUCGAGCAAUCUUUCUGAGCAAACACUCUCAAAUGCAAAGACGUUUCACACCUGAGCUUGCUCGGCUUCGGUGUCGACGACAGCCUUCUUCAAUGCGCGCCAAACGAGCUGUUCCUCCAGGCUCAUCGGCUGCAGCAGCUGCCGGCCGCGGAUAUUCCGCGCGGCCGGGGCCGGCUCGGCCGUCGCGGCGGCGGCUGCUGGCGCAUGCGCGCGUGCCACCGGGCCCUCCUCGGCCUCGGGAGGACCGAACAUUGCUUGCAGCUCGGCGGGCGUGAAGACAUCUGCAAAGCCUUGCAGCAGUUUCCUGCCCGUGCCGGCUCCUGCACCGGCCUUGCUCGCUCUGCUGCCGUCUCGGUAGCCAGCGAACAGGCUCAUCAGAUCGGAAGGCAGCUCAGUGUCGACCGGCGGCAGAAUUCCCUGCGGCUGGGCCGGUGCCGGGGCGGGAGCCAACUUUGGCGCAGCUGCCGAUGCCCGUUUUGGUGCAGCUGCUGAUGCCGGUAUAGGCGCAGCUGUCGGUGCCGUUUUUGGAGCGACGGCCGGCGCGGAAACUGGCACGGCGGCCGGAUCCGGGGCCGGGGCGGCAGCAAAGAUUGAUGCUUCCGAUUCUGGCGCAAUCAGGUCGUCGGGGAGCAGCGCAGGGGGAGCGUUGUCCAGAGAGCCAUAGAUGGCCUGGAGGUUCUCACGAGAGAAGACGUCCCGCCAGCCCUGCAGCUGGCGCGCGGUGGCUGGUGAUGGCUUGGAACCCAGCGAUACAACGGCGGCUGCGGCAGCUGCUGGUGCUGAGGCUCUUGGAGCCUCAGCGAAUCCUGCAGCAAGCACCCGCAAUCUUAAUAUCUGUAUCUCAUGUCACCGACAGCAAUAUGUGCCCUUCUAUUCAGGUAUGUGCUGCAACAAGGUGACCAGCAGAAUAUGAAACAAUUGCACUGUCUGGCAUGUGACCCUGACUUAUGAUUGCAACAAGGCCCUGGUGAAGGCUAAGAGAUUCCGUUGGAAAGAGUCCUGGUACCAAUCCAUUGUAUCGAGGCAAGAGCGCUGUUGAAGAUUCUAGAGGGAUCUUUUCACUUCUCAACAGCUUCAAAGCAGCAGCUCACCUGGGAUGUAGGCGUGUUCUGCGUAAUAGGCUGGUCCUUCAGUCGACUCGACAUUCUGUGGUGCCUGCAUAAACAUUAGGUGAUCAAUCAAUAAGCUGUGCCUUGUAGAUGUGUGCGCUCGUUCGUGACGCACGCCCUGGCCCUGGGGCGCUCACAGCAAGAUUUGUCCUUGCCAAGGAUUCCUUGUCGCUACUGUGAAAAGGUGCCUCGAGAAGGUGUAUGUUGCAGUUGAUAUGACACAGAUCGGCCGAAAAGCUUGAUGCCGCCUUUCUCUCUGGGGACCGGAAAAGAUCUUCCCCACUGCCGCUCAAAGAGGACAGAAGGCUGCAGUCAAUCCGCAGCACACAAGAGCGAGACGUGAUGUAUCGACCGGAUUGAUACAAACCCCGAGCAAGACGUUGUCGGUGCAGGUCUGAGAGGGACUCACGGACUCUGGAACGACGAGAAGGCGCCCGGCGAGAAGAGGUGCUGGCCCGCAGAGAAGGCAGAGGAGUGUAGCUGCCUUGAAGAGAUCCAUCGUUGCGUCCCGAUCACUUCCAACCCCAGGUUCCUUCAAAACUAUGAGGAAUUCUCUUUUUCUGUCAGCUUCCCACUUUGCAUCCUGUUGAUGCCCAUUUAUGCAAACCCCUUCAUUCACCUGGUGACUAAAUUUUAAUGAGUCAAGACUUUGCUGCGUUCAGGAGUUGCGAACUGUUAUACCUGUAUUUCAAUCAGCUCUGGGGACAGAGUUCCAUCGUUCUGACAGCAGCAAUCCUGUACUUGCAUCAGCUUGCCGAAAAGAAGCAGGCAAGCAUAAAUUACUUCUGUCGCUGAUCAUUGACAGUGGCAAUCUUAAUGUUGUUUUACCGAAAACUCUAAAUAUUUUGGAGAAGCUAAGGUUCCAGAGCUUGUGGGCAGCGACCUGCAGUCUAUCUGAAAAAAUUUCGUUCGUCCUUAUCUGGAGCUUCUGCUGGCAGACUCUGCUUGCGUCAUGUCUUUCAGAAAGUGCGCUUUGCAUCCAUCUGUGAACACACAGAACCCCUGGCACUGGACCCAAAGACCGCUGUUCACGCUCGUUUAGUACCCACCGGUGACGUAUGAUACAGUGACCAUAGACACACCAACAAACGUCUGAAUGAAGACUCUUUCCUCUUUGCCGCAGAAUAUGUAACUGUCUAGGCGUGGGCACACAGCACCUGCUGGACGGUAGUGUCCACAAAUAUUUCCUCAUCUGACCUCCGAUAUGCUGUGCCGGCUUUGACCCGAAGGCUCACCCAAGUAGCACCAGUCUUACAGACCCCUUUCAAGGUGAUCAUCUUACACUGGCAAGCUGUGCUUUUUUCAUUGCACAAUUUGUUAGCCAAGAGGCCAGGCGUGGUCAUGCAGACAAGCUGCAGUCAAAGGUUGUCACAGUCCUACCCGUUGUUAGACUCGCAUGCGCAAGAUUCAAGCAAGGCCCAAUUAUCCGUGGGCACCAUGCUCAGUAAUUUCACCGCCCCCCGCCAGCCGGGGCCAGCUGUGCGUUAAGCUGCAGUAAGCCGGGUGCUUUAUUGCCAAUCUUACUCUACUGUAACACUCAGGCGUCUCAGGUGCUGGAACAUUCUGCUGAGAGGCCUUCCGAUGUUUGCACAGGGCUUGGUUCAAUUACACAUGGCCUUGCAGCCACAUCUCAGCUGCAAUUUGGCAGCCACAAAAUUAAAAGGGCCCCAAACACUUGGAGCCUGCUUGGAUUGCCGCGCGCAUUUCAGCACCAGUAGAAUUGCAACGCACCAUUCAGAUCUGCCCCUGCCCAAGCCUGGCGCCAAGCGGGUCGUGCAGGAGAGCUCGCCCGGCCUAAAUACUCUUUCGUACUAUCCUAGUUGCCUAAGCUAAACUCGUGAAGGGAUCCCAAGUGUUGUUGGCAAAAAUUUCUGCCGACUUACUAGCACGGGUAUCUCCCCUUCCACACUGUGGCACCACAACAGCACCCACACCUUCCGCAAACGUUUUCUUGUGCUGCAGCUGACCGGAAAAUAUUCACACUUUCAAUUAUUCUUCUUGAACAGCAUCCAGCACACAGACUGCCAGGUAGUGCACUAGUGCAAAUACAAGGGCAUGAUGUCAGUGCGUGCGCGCAUGCUGCGUACAGGCAGCUUCCAUUCCUUCUGGGAUCGGCCUGCUUAUAGUGAUUACUGCUGCCAGCUCAGCAGACGGCGGUGCUCCCGACAGUUUGUGCCGAUCGACCUCCUCCGGGCGCCCUUCUCAAAAGGGUUUAGCAACACCUGAAAAAGCAACAAAAUUGCUUCAUCCCAAUGAGUCAUGUGUUUUAAGAAAGUCUUCUGCGCCUUGCAUGAGUCCCUAGUGAAACCCACCAGCAAGGAGGAGUGUCAGCUGAAGUGCCUUUUGGCCAGACAUUUUGAGAUUUGGCAGGCUGUACACACUCCCCUGCCCUCUCUUGCAAUGCAGACACAUCAAAGCUGUCCCAAGGGCAGUCUGAGCAGUGAUGUCUCUACACCAGGGCAGCAGCAGAACAAGCUUCUGGAAAAGUGUUUCAGGCAAGAGGGUGACCCACCGUCUGCAGUGGAGGAAGGCUGGUGGUGCACUUUCUCCCCAGCAUCUUCAGACUUAAUUGAUGGCGGGCCGAUCAGCGCCCACUGGAAGUAGCUCCUUUUGGGGCCAUCCGCCUCUUCGCUGGAAGGCCGGUCCUCCUGGUCUGGCUCUGUGUGAACCAGGAAUUCCCUUAGUGCUGUCUGCAAAUUUGGCAGUGAUCCAGCUUUGAAAGGGCAUUAAAGUAGAACCCUGAGCAGUUGCUAUUCCCAGCGGAAGGCAAGAGCAGAAGAGUAGAGUAUAGAUGUAGUUCAGGCAACGGGAUACCCACCUUUUGCAGCGGAUGAAGCUUGGCGGUGCACUCUCUCCCCGGCCUCUGCCUUUGCAUACACCGGCAGGUCUGUCAGCGCCCACUGGAAGUAGCUCUUUCUGGGGCCGUCCACAUUGAAAGCUUCUGCGCUGGAAGGCUGUUCCUUCUGGUCUGAGGGAGACAGUUGUUCCAGUUCUGGAUGAUCCGGCACUUCCUCAGGUCGCUCGGCGAAUGUUUCACGGAUCCAGUUGGGACCGCCCGACACAGCCGCCCUCUCUUCGCCCUGCAGCAUGGACAAUAGGGGUUUUAUGCAAGCAUUUGAAGCGGUCAAUGCUAGCAGUUGCCACGCAAAUAAGGAAGUAACCCAGGCUUAUCUGCCACAACAGGAUGGCGAAGAGCCGCAAUGUACUGAAGAGAAUGUAACACGAUGUGCAGUGCAGCUGUCCUCGGAAAAUAUAUUAUAUUGCAUCAAUGAACAUCUGAGAGGCAUAAAAGAUCGAAGCGAUCAACAAGAAAGAGUGUACUUACGAUGGCUGCAGCAGAGAUCGCAGUCGACAGAAGACCGGCGAUGAGCAGGAUGCGGCGGACGUCGGUGAAAGCUUCCAUGAUUGAUUCAGCUACUUGAUACUCGCCAGGUACCUGGUGAUGUGAUUCUGCCACUUGUUCUGUUGCUCGCCGGGUUUGGCGAAAAUGUUUCCUCAUCACCCCCCUGGAGUUGGAACCUGCCCGACAGCUGCGGCCGCCACCUUUCCACGUGUCUCGUUGUUUUUAUCGGAAAAGCAAAAUUUCAGCCCUAUUGCGAGCAUCCCAAGGAUCCUCUACGAUAAGGCCUCCAGGAGGAUGUCUAUCCCGACAAGGUGCGCUCGUCCUCAGGAAGGCUGUUGUCGACUAGAAGUACUUCUAUUCUAUGAUACAAGCUGUGGAGUCCACCAGGAUGCAGUGAAAGAACCCCUGUUCCAACUUUGCGUGUUCUCAUCCUUUGUUUUCGUCGAUGCAAGCAGCAGGUCCAUCCCAGACUGGACAGCAACAUGUGCUGUAUUGCGCAUAUCCCAGUGGGAAAGGGAGGAUAUGCAUGCGAGCCACCAGCUACCAGAGGAAGUUUGGCCGGAACAUAGUUGCUGACCACAUGUCUCUGCGCCACUGGGCAAUGGCUUCAGGCACCUGCCGCACAACGGUAUCAGUCCGUGUGAGGGCGGUGAAUAUGCUUGAUGACGUUCUUGAAGAAGGUCCGCCUCCUAAACUGCCAGUACGGAGCACGCAGCUAUUUCCAGUCUGAGUUUAUGUGCUCUGCCGCCGUGAAACAUUUCAUGCUUGCCGGUGUUCGGUGUGCAGCCAUUCCCAAUAGUAUCUCACACUUGCCAGCACGCAGUCCGCAGCUAGUUGCAUUUUGAGUAUAUAUACAUGUGCUUUGCCGCCGUGAAAAGCUCAUGCUUGCCAGUGCGCAGUGCGCAGCUAGUUCCAUUUGAUGUGAUGUGCUUCUCCGCUGUGAAUAUCUCAGACCUGAGACACUGCGCGGACGUUGCAGGCUUGAAAUGGGUUUGCAAGAAGCUGACUGGGGCACUUGUGCUGCUGGCCUUUCCAACAGACCUGAUGGACAACCUGGCCGAUGCUAUUGUCCAUCAGUCGUGCAACUUGGGUGCUUUGCUACAAUGCACAUCAGGGCCCCAAGCAACCGGUACGGCGAGUAUGCCUCGCGAUCUUGCUUGUCAUGGCUGCUACUGUCUGCCGCUCAGCUGAGGCUGUCCCGAAGGCAUUUGUGGACAAGAGAAUUGGCUGCCGCCGAUGGCCAAUUUGAGGCAUGUCACUCUGGAUGGAUACCACGCCAGUGGAGACAUCCUCAGAGUCCUGCCCAAAGCCACAGUCUUGUACAUUUGUGUUCAAGGGGACCUAUCAGCAGGUCUCUGUUGAGCGGCCAUCUCUGGAGGUGGAGGCCGGGGUCCUGCGCAAAUGCUACGCUCCAGUCAGGUGAACCUUUGAAGUUCUUGGGCCGCUCGAUCUCAGUAAGCUUCGGGAAUUACGUGAUGGUUGUUUUGAAGUUAGUGAAGCCAGAGAGGAUCACUUUGCCUUCAGCAUGCUCGCUGCAUGUACACCACGAUUCUAAUUAUUUGAGGAGCAACCCUUGGCAGAGCAUGUACUCCACAUAGUUGCACGACACGGCUGGUCAAAAUUUGGACACGCGUUUGCGAACGUUCGCGACACCGCGACACCGCGACACGCGUGUCCAGACCUGAGGACGUUAGUAACCAUGCAACCGGGUGAUGACUAAUGGUUACUAAGGCUGACGGAACCUCAAAAAGCUGUUUCCGGACCCGACAACGCAUCAAAACACAUCGGAGUUGUCUCUAAACACCUUUACAAGCAUGUUAUAUGUGUUUGGGGUGUUGUUGGGUCAUUUCCCGGCGUCCAAGCGGCCAAAAACGGUCAGAAACGGUCAAACGUAACCCUUACGUAACCCGGUGUCGGAGCGGUGUCGGAAAUGGCCAAAAUUUGGACACGCGUUUGCGAACGUCCGCGACACUCCGACACCUGACACGCGUGUCAAGUGUCGUGCAACUAUGGUACUCCAAGAUUUGCAGUCUGGGAGUGAGUUUCUAUGAACGCCAUGGCACUGGCCUGCAUAUCAAAAUUCUUAGGGCCACUGUUGUCAACGCGUGCAAUGAUGAUGUUGACUCUGUAUGUGAAUACGGAUGCUGAGGUUCAUUAAUAAGGGUUCAACCGGUGCAAGAGAAUGUCUUCCAUUGGGGACAAGACUCGCUUUACCAUAUCUGGUGAUGCCUUGUGAAAAUUACUGAUGUUUGAUGCCUCAGGAACCUUGGAUCUAGAGUUUGAAACUGUGGAGCAACUCCAAGUAUCUGCACUUUGCUUUCCUGCAACUUAUGGCUGUGCAAAAGGUUCGUGGCUGCCAGACUUCAGUGCAAAAGGACAUGCAUUGGCUCUUUCAACGUCCAUAGUAGUGUAAGUCACUUGCUCAGGAAGGUGCAACCAGAUUGCAUCCUGCCAUCUCAUUCCACUGCAACAGACCUGAUGAGGUGUUUGUGCACUGCAUUAUCAGUGUAUGCCGCAAAGUCACCCUGUACAGGUGUUUUGGUGCACAUGUGUUUUGACACGUGAGCCUCAGUAGUCUUACAGGCGUUUUUUCACACUGCGGCAUGCGAAUUAUGAUUGCAGAACAGCUGUCUUUUGAGAAAACAUUCUCAACCCGUUACUGCAGAGUUCCAAUGAAAUAUACUUAUGCUUGACCCUCUCAGAACCGGCACAGCUCUGUCUUCUGAUGCCACUCAAACCCAACACCUCGACCAAGUACUUUCAGAAACGGAACCCUUCUACAACGGGACUUGAUUUUAUUUCUUUCAGUUCACCAACUUUUAUUCAUUUAGUUGAGUAUUAGGGUUCACCCUUCCCAACCAUAAACAUAAUAUUAUACCCUCAAACUGUGCCAACUCCAGCUUCAACGUUCCAGCUACCUGUUUCAUUGCCUUCAACUGGGCAGCAUAUUAUAAUGUACAGGUGUUCAGGCUGUGCGCGCAGGCUUCGGCCCGGGAGCCUCCUUUCCUUCUGCGAUGGGCCUGGUGGCUGCUGUCAGCUCAGCAGACAAUGGUACUCCCAGCAUGUUCAGCAAAUUAAUGACGUCCGGGUCGCCAUUCUCAACUGGAUCCAGGACCACCUACAAAAUAAGAAGCAGAUGCCUGUGUCAGUUGAGUUGAGCUACAAAGAGUCUCUUAAAGGCUUGGUUGCAGAGCUAGCUGCUAGGAAGGCUGACCACCGACGUAUAAAGAAGGGUGUCUGAUCAUAGGCCGCGCAUAUCAAUCUUGAAGAACAACACACUGUGCUUGCCACACCUGUAAUGCAGGCCCAACAACUAUGCCUUUUGGGGAAGGUCUGUUGCAACAACAUAGGGGAUGCAGGACAAUGGACUGCAAAAGCAUCAAAAGCAAGCAAGCAAGUGUCUGAGCUGGUCACGCUUGCAGAUGAAGAUCGCACCAUCUGCAGUGGCCGGCGCCUGAGGGCAUCCACAGAGACACCCAUAGUCUUGCUGGCAUGUGCAGCCUCCGCCUUGUCUGCAGUGGAGUGGAACAGUGGCUCCGGCAAGUACCCCUGCUCCAGAGGGGACGCAUGCUCCUGCAUGCGGCGCAUGGACGCUGCAUCUGGCUUGGAGGGCUCCAGAGGCUGUUGUGGGGUGGGCAGCAGUGGGGAGGGCGGCGCGGGCAAUGGGCCGGCAGGAGAGUUAUCACUGGCUGGGGCGUCUGCACUAGUAGGCCAGGACGGCUGCUGCAGUGCGCGGUAAGCUGGGCUUGCCCAGAGUCUCUGGGCAGCCACUUCGCGAGCCUCCGUGUCUGCGCCAUCGAGCCAGUACACCUGGUCCAGCUGGGGGAUUGCACCAUUGCUCAGCAGGCGGCGCCUAUUAUCGGCGCCCUCACGAGGCUCCUCCAACGGCAGCCGCUGCGCAGGCGCGGCCGGUGCGGCCCGGCCGGAGACGGCGGUCUUUGACGGCUGAACGGCGCGCGCGGCCGCCGCGGCAGCGCGCUUUACAGCCGGGGCGACGGCCGGUGAGGGCGCAGCCGCAUGACGGGCGGCCGUCAGCUUUGGAGGGUUGGAGACAGUGCGGAGUGCCGGAGCAUGCGCACGCUUGGGCGCGGCCGGCUUGACGGCCGGGGCCGGGGCCGGGACGGCAAGGCGCGCGGCCGGCGCGGCAGCACGCGCGUAUGGCUUGGCGUAGAUGAUGGGGAUCAUCUGCAAUAAUGUGACAUUACACUCAGAAGCGCUUUACUUUUGCACUUGAUGGCUUUGAAUCAUCAUGUCUUCACUUGAUAUCGCUCCUUAGCGUUUGUGACUGACCAUUCAUAGAAAGAGAGUCACAACCAUUCAGACAGGAGCAGGUAAAUGCCAGCACAAAGGAGUCAUUUAGGCAAUUGCCCAUAGUGUGUAGUCUCCUGCAUGCCUCGAAGUGAGACUAUCAUAUUACAUCCGUUUGCCAGCUCAGCAAUGAGUCCUGGGAGGCGACAGAAACUACCUUGAGGCUGCGCAGCGAGUGGCCUGCAAGCUUGGCAGCAGGGGUGGGGGCUGACUCAGCGGGCGCUGACUCGGCAGGUGCCAGCAUCUGCUCGAAGGACGGCCACACCAACUUUGAUGAUGCAAUGAUGGGUGCCUCUUUGGCUAUUCCUGCCUCGGCUGGCGCUACUGCUGCCAAACUGGGUGCAGGAGCUGCACAGCAACACCACACAUUCAGCACAGCGACUGGCUCCAUAUCUUUCAGGACUUACAUUGAGUGCACUCCGGCAGCUUGUCUACAGACCCACCUUUGCCUCUGGUAAGAAAGGCAGGUAGUAUCCCUGCUGAGUCCUUACUGAUUAUCCCUCAUGAAUAGCACCACAGUGCACAGGAGCUUGGGUAAUAGCUCUGGCACCCUGGAUAGAGCAGAUGGGAAGCGAAGGAGCUCCAGGCAAACAUUUGCAAAGAAUGUCACAACAGUGAAAGCAUCCAAUCGGCAAUCCAAGGAGCAACACACUCUUCCCGGCAGUCUGAACAGCUGCCCUCAGGGCAGACACAGGCAGUGCCCUGCGUGUGACUUAAUGUUUCCUUGUGGAGUAGAGCAAAAAUAGCAGCGCACAUCUGCAAUUUUUGCCGUGAAAACUGCCUAAAGCAAGAGCUCAAGAAAGAAGCACACCUGCGCCGCGCGGCCCUUGCAGCAGGCGCCUGUUGCCGCCGUUGUCAGCAAGGACAGGGUCUGUGGCAGGCAGCCUGAUGACAUCAGCAUCUCCUGGGACCGCCUGAAGAGGGGCAAGCGCUGGUGCCCCGGUGGGAGAAGCAGGUGGGAUCUCCUCAACUGCAGGGCACACGGAAGCUGCCUCCUUCAACGCCAAAUCACUCGCUUACAAGACGUCCUGGCACUGUUCACUUCAAGCGGUUUCCCUAUUACGGAGGUCAUGCGAAUCGAAUCCGAAUAUUGCUGCACUUCGCAGAGACACGGCAUCAGGGACAAGCGACUCCAACAGGGAAGCCGUAUGCAGGAGGGGAUGCGCCGCACCUGCAAAGGGGCCUCCUGAAAGCAAGGCGGCACUGUAAGAGUUCUCUGCUGCUCCUUUAGGAGCGGCCGCAGCGUCUUUGCCCUGCAACAUCGAAGACAGUCACUUAGACCUGCUGUUGAUCCGCCCAGCAGUCAUCCCUGUGCAUCUAUUCAUGAAGAUUAUUAGUAGAAAAGCAGACAGUAUGAUAAACCCAAGCCGUUUUUAUUGUAAGUCAAGCGUCGUUGUGUCAAUACGUGGCCGCGCUCAGCAUAUACAGAAACCCACAAGUUGAUUGCUUGCCAUGAGUGAUCUGGCGCCAAGUGGCGCCGGCGAAAGUUCCAAUGCCAGAUUGGUGUCAUGUCCUAUAUAACUUUGGAGCAAUCUACGAUAACAUUGAGCUGCUUGCGUUGCAAAGACCUCCUGGCACGUCAGGGUCAGGUGUACUUACGAUGUCUGCACCAGAGAUGGGCGUAGGUAGAAGAGCGACGAUGAGCAAGAUAGCAAAGCCUUGGCGGACUCCGAUACAAGGCUCCAUCUGGACGAGGUUCCUGGUGGCCUUCUUAUUCUGCUGCUGAUCUGAAUUAAAAUGUGGAGAGACUGGCUCUGUUGGCAACCUAUUUGGAGAAGAUGUUCCCUCAUUAUCCCCCUGGACAUGGAAUCUUCCGUGACAUCUGCGGGCCGCCAGAGGAAAGUUCUCAAGGGAAAUCCUUUGUUGACUUCCAAAGCUUCUUAAUACCGUGGUAUAGCAAGCUGGAGCGGCUUAACUGCUAUGGGGUCGAGAAAGAAGAAGCAACCUAAAACGUACGAUCAUCUCCAUGAUGGAGCUGAAGCUUGUUCGCAGAGACGUCAUAUCAGGGGGAUUAGAGUGCAAGUUCCCUGUGAAGAAAUUUAAUAGAAUGCAAUGUAUCGUUUGGGAAACUUCCCUUUUAAAAGCCGAAUUUGAAGCCAAAUAGAACACAAUAGAGUGCGACCGACCAGGAAUAACAAGUGACCUUCUUGGCUGUUAAUGGGAGGUUUUGUGAAUAUUUAGGUCGACGGCCGAGAUGGUCGAGGGCCAGCACCUGUAUCCACAACUUCCAGAAGAAGUCUGGACGAAGAUUGCCAGCUUCAUGUCUAUGGAGCACUGGGCAAUGGCGUCAGGUACCUGCCGAACGACAGACGCCGUCAGAUUGACAGCCGCAAACCUGCCUAAUAGCCUCACAGCAGAUGGUGAUCCUCUUAUGCUUCCUUGUUUUCAGUGGCACUUGCUGCAUACUCACAAUUAUUAUCAAAUUUCGGCCAAAGUGAUUUUCACAUCAAGCCUCGGGCAGCCAUAUUAAGCUGAUGCCAGCAGUGGCAGCAGUGCUCCUUUGCUUUGGUAUGCUGAUCUCUGCAUUCAGGGACCACUAAGUAUGAGGACUAUACUGAAUGUACAGUAAGUGGGAAUUAGAGUCCGAACAAUAGGCAGUUGCUGGAAAAUCAUAGUCCCUACUCUUUAUCCGACUGAGAAUUUGCUGUUAACGGCGUUCUUUCGAGAUCCCCAGUCCCUCUUUCUGCAGCUCAAUUUGGAAUUAGGCAGGCCAUAAGGCUGGCUCCAGAUUGUCAAGUUCUCCUCUAGUUUGGGCGGGCUACUCAGUCAGACCACCUGCUGAGAUCAGACUUGAUUCCAUGCGGUUCUGCACAUGGGGGUACUAAAGACAACUCCCUGGCACAGGCGCCGGCAUCAAGAGGGUCUUCAAGAUGAUAGACGGGGCGGAAACACUGGCGUUGCCUGCAGAACUGGCCGAUGAUCUUGCAGAUGCAGUUGCACAAAAGUCUUGCAGCCUUGCUGGGUUGAGGCAGUUUCAUAUGCGCGCUGCGUCCGCCAACGCUCAUGGCUGGUCUAAGGCUGAUUGCCUGCCCUGGCUAUUAACCCAAGCAACACAAUUAAGUCUCUUGAGCAUGUAUUUGGGUGGGAGGUGUUUUCUGUGGUUUCCACCCAUGUGCAAUCUCAAAUACAUCAUUUUAGUCCUGCCAAAAGAGGGAAGUAAUAAUCUACACAAUGCUUUGUUGAGCGCUACAGCUCUGGAGACUCUUUCUUUGAGCGUAAAUUUAAAGUUGGGUUCGAUACCAUGUGGAAACGAUUGCCGUAUCAAAGCUUUGGAGCUGGACAGGCUUCGGAGCCUGUCUCAGGUAGUCUUGAGAGGCGUCAGACCAGAUCGGAUGAAAAUUCCAGCCAGCUGUUGCCUCCAUGUUUAUAAUAUAUAUCUGCAUAACUUUUGUGAUCAGCAAGCUACCCGGGAAAACCAUGCACGUAUCCGCAAUAUCGGCGUGAUUGUUAGCAAUUAUUAUACUGAUAAUCCCCUUAGGGAGGCUGGAUUGACUGUAGCAAAUUUCCUUGCUCUUCAUUGUCCUUCUCUGAUGUUGAAUAUGUUGACAUUGCAUAUAUCGGAGGCCAUCAGUGGCGAACGCAUAAAUCUUGGCAGUUUUCAGCAUUUCAGGAAACUCUGUUUUGAAGGGACCUCACUGAAGUUUGACGUGCCUGCUGGCUCUUCUUGGGAUGUCCUUAGGAUUGAGGCCUCAACACUUGACUUUCAAAUUGAAGAUGCCUAUGAGUUUCCCAUUUCUUGUCCUAGCUUUUCUGCAGCCAUGGAUGAUGAGUGUAGCAUUGGUGGGUGGAUGGUAGAUUUGUGUGAGACAUUAGUUAAGCGUGGCAUUCCAUGGACCAAGGAAAAGGUAGGUCCGAAGAGGUUCAGAUUCAGGUACUCACGAGUUCCAGGCAAUGUGUGGUGUUCCUGUGGAGCAUGCAUGGAUUGUUUAUUGGCGGCGGGACAUGCCAAAAGGCUAGAUGGAGCCGCAAGUGCGCUCUAUGAGCCUUAUUGAUGUAAAGUUCCCAGCUGCAGGCAGCCUCCGUUACUUCCUCUAUUCCUCACUUUGCUGAUGCUCCGGCAAGGGCCCUGAGGGUAGCAUGUGAGAUCACUGCUCGGGAUAUUGGCAAGCAUGCUGCUUGCCGCCGGUGGCCACUUAUUCUCUGCAGCUUUAUUCGUGUAGAACCAUGUAAAUUGUUGAGCCAUAGCAGCCUGAGAUCAUGAUGAUAUUGCGCUUCUCAUCGCUCAUAGCCAUUUGAGGUUUAAAUGCUUGAGCUGCCCACUGCCUGGCAGGGCAGUGGGCAGCCCUGCCCAAGAUCGGGCUGCCCACUGCCCAUUCCAUGAAAUUGGCGGUCAACAGAGUGACCGUCAGAGCGUCAGAGAAUGCCCAGAAGUGCUACACACAUCGCAGAAAGGUCCUGACUGGAGAGCUGAAAGCACGCAAGGUGCCCGAAUUGUACUGUACUCUCAUGACAUCAGCUCUCAGAUGCUGAUCAGAUCAAUUGAGUGCAUCAUUCUUUCUCCGUUCUUUCAACGACAAUUACCAUAUGCACGCAGGAUGACAUCUCGUGAGCCAAAAAUUAAUGGAACUCUCAAGAGUGGGGAUCUGCCUGUGGAAGUCUGGGCCAACAUUGCAAGCUAUCUGUCCCUGAAACAAUGGGCUAAAGCGUCAGGAAUCUGCCGCUCCACAAGACGUGUUCGUUUGCGAAACCUCGAUUUUUCAAGAGGUCUCCCUGAAAAAGGUGCAAGCUGUGCUGUACCGCAGCUCACUCUUGCAAAGACUCUUCUAUUUGCUUGAUCCUUGCUCGAAUCGAUCCCUGCAGCGAAUGUCUUUCUCAAUGGGAUGCUGCUGCUCUGCAGGUAUUUUUUGGGCCAUCAAGAUGCUCGACACAGCAGAGGUCCUUUCGCUGACUGCAUCCAGCUCUGACAAGGUUGCAGGUGCUGUCGCCCAGGGCACGCACAGCAUCGAGCAGUUGCAGCAGCUCUGCACAGAAGUCACAUGCUCUGCUGACACAUGCUGCCUGCUGUGGCUGCUCAAUCGAGCCACCAAGCUCACCAUCCUGGUGGCCUCUGUGAGUGUCAAACUGUGGUUCCCACCAAUGUUGAAAUCCCUGAAGCAUAUUGUCCUAGACUUUUCCACGGCGGAUGCUGGCAACGUGUGCAGCGCGCUGACCAGCGCCGCAGCACUGCAAACUCUUUGCUUGAGUGGCAGGAAGCUAAGCUCGCUUACAAAGUCCCAUAUAAUUUUGGAUAAGCUCGUGCAUCUGGAAGCGUUUGCUCUGAAGGGGAUCGAGCCUGAAGUGCUGCGCAUUCCAAAAGAAUGCCGCAUGCAUCUCAGUGACAUAGGAAAUUUUGACAUAACCAAGGAUGUGUGGAAGGGGUCACUCCCAAACAUGCGCGGUGUCCGUGGGUACUUGAUAUGGCAGUACGGCCGCAGUUCCAUGGAUAACUUACUCAACAGGCAGCUACGCCCGGCAAAAAAUGUCAGUGCUAUGAAGAUAAUGCUGUACUCAGAGUGUCGGUACGAGGACAUGCGGAAGGACAUGCUGCAAGGCAUAGAACACCUGGGAAGAGUCUUGUUUGAUGGAGGGGAUGUUGUUCUCUAUCUGCCCGCCAACAUUAAGUGGGAGGUUGCUAUUUUCGAGGGCGGCAAGAUCGCCCUGGAGUUUGAGGACGUGACCAAGUUUGUCAGGACAGUCCGAAAGUUCGGAGCAACCUUCAAAUCCAUGCGCAGCACUUGGCUGGCAGACUUGCGCGCAACUCUGACUGCACAGGGCAUCUCCUGGGCUUCCACAGAACGAGAUGCAAAGGGCAAUUACAAGUUAUGGUUUCCUGCGGGGGAAUACCCGGCAAAGUGCUGGUGUGGUGCUUGCCUGGACUGUCUUGUGGCGGCAGGACAGGCUGUUGCUCCAUGUGUCAAUUCUGUGUUAGAGGGCGACAUUCAAUACAACACCGGUCCCAGUGUGUAUGAAGAUGAGUCUGCGGAAGGAGAGGAUGAAGGAGAGGACUAUGACUAUGACGAAGAUGAAGAAGACGGAAUGUGGGGCCAUGGCAAUCACUAUGCAUAUGGCGUCCGUGACAGUGACGAUGAGUAUUACUACAAUUAGAGUGAUUCGUGGUGGUGGGCCUGACACUGUGAGGUCUUGGCUGGCCUGAGUUUAGUGGCCUCUCCUGAUCAUGUACCAUUUCCCAGUAUGGGUGCAUAUGCAUGCCAGGCUGCAGACAGGGCAGGUACUUUUAAGAGAUUGCACUUGCGCCACGGCUGCUGGCAGGUGCCUGGCAGGCGCCAAUGGCUGCCACAUGCAUGCGGGCAAACACCCUCUGACCUGUACGCACCACAUGCAUCAUUAGAAUUUUGUUUGCGAUAAUGUGAUGUGGGGUCUAUAUUGAGGCUGACACUCAGCAAUGGGCCAGCCACAGGAUCCAGUUGGGAAGCCCUGUCCUGCCCAACGCUGCCCGAUGGGCAAAGUCAUGGAUUCCCGCGCGGUGUUCUGAGUUGUUCUCAAUGACACUCUCACUGAUUUCCAAAUCAUUGUUGAUUUAGAAUUGGAGUUGAUCGCUGAGAUACAGAAGUAUAAGCGAUCAGAAAUUGAAGCGAAGUCCCCGUUCUUCACACCAGGUUCGACUUCCAUUGCUCUGUAAAUCCAAUUACUGAGCAGUGAUCACCUUCCUCUCUCAACGUCAAAUCUGUUUGAUCCUCGUAAAAUCUAAAGCAUGUGGACGCAGGAUGAGCGCACGAGGGCCAAGAUAUAUGAAUGGAGACUUACCAGUGGAAGUAUGAGCCAAGAUCGCGACCUAUCUUUCAAUGCGAGAUUGGGCGAAGGCAUCAGGAGCAUGUCGCUCCACGAUGGCUGUGCGCUUGCGAAUUGUCAACAUUCCCAUAGGCCUUCCCAGAGCAGGUGAGUUGGUCUGUGCUCCGAUCAGAAGACUGUGUUUUCUAAAUUGCUGAUGGUAGUAAGCAGAAGGUGCUUGACUUUGGCGGUGGUGAUGUGCAGGAAUAGAAUGGGCCUGCAAGAGGCUGGAUAUGCUAGAGGCCCUGACUGUCCCAGCAGAUGGCCUCGACAUGGUUGCAGAUGCUGUUGCUCACUCUGGCCGGGACAUUAGUCACAUGCAGCAGCUCCACGUAAUUUCGCGCAGCAGUUCAGCGUCCUGCUUACCGUGGCUGCUAACGCACUGCGCUGGGCUCAAACUCUUAGGCGCUUCCUUCGGCAGAAUCCCAUGGUUCCCUCGGCUGGCAAAUUUGAAGCACCUGGUCCUCGAGUUUGUUAGGGGAAAUACAGGGAAUAUUUGCACUGCUCUACAGAGCGCCAGUGCUUUGCAGACUCUUCACUUGAGCAAGUCGCGCAAGCAUGCAGUGGAUCUGGGCGCUCUGAUCCUGAAUGAGCUACCCAAGCUGGAAGUGCUGGUGCUGAGCAAUGCCAUGCCUCAUGCGUUGCAGCUUCCUGCUUCAUGCCACCUGCACCUACUAGAGUUCGCCAGUCUGGACAUGGCAGCAGGGGUUUGGGGAGAAGUGCUUUGUAACGUUCGCAGCAUUUGUGGGGUCUUGUAUGCUGAUCUUGCAGAAGCCGCUGCAACAUUUCUAGCCAACUGUGUGCUGCCGGUGCCCAGUGUUUGCAAGGUGGGCAUCACAAUGAGGAGAUACCUUUCUGGGUCCUCCUUGAGCAAGCUGAAUGUGCAAGGCUUUCGUCAUCUGCAGAAAUUUGCGGUUGCCGGCCUGUCAAUCCACAUUCAAUUGCCGCUGGCGCCCUGUUGGGAAGAAGUGGUGUUUGAUGUCACAGAUGAGCUGCUCCUGCGCUUCCAUGAUGUGGACUCCUUCGUGUCGGCCGUGCCCAAGUUUGAGGCCUCCUUCAGGACUCUUCGCAAUACCUGGCUGGUGGAGCUCUGUGCCGCAUUACGCAGAAUCGGCAUUGCAUGGGGAUCCCAGCAGGAAGCAGGCGGGAAGUCAAGAUUCUGGUAUCCCGUGGACCAGGAAUUCGCAUGCUGCUGUGGGGGUUGCUUGGCAUGCCUUUCGGCGGCCGGAAAGGCAGUGGUAGAGAAGCUAGACAAGGAUGUGCGACCGCCCAUCCCUGGCUGGGAGGCUUUCGAUCAGGAUGACAAUGUUGUCGAGGAGGGAGACCCUGAUCUGCAGGAUGUUGUGCAUUACCCAGAAGUGAAUGAUGACAUCGACUUUGAGCCUGCUUCUCCGGUUUAUCAAUACAACUUUUUAUAAUUUCACGCUGCCAUGCGUGCCGUGCAGCAGCGUCUGGACAUUUGUGCAAACCAUACAUAUCAUUUUCCUUUUGAAUUUAUUCUGGGUAAAUCGCAUGCGGAUAGCUAUUAGCUGCACACAACUGCCCACGUAUACCAUGGAUGGCAAGCUUUUAUGACUGUACAUGUAUGGACAGCACCUCAAACUCUGCAUAGUGACCCUCGGAGGAGCAUACCUUAUAAGAGCCAUGCGUAUGCGGAUGUCCGGAUCCGACAGAGUCUAGAGUAUAAAGUCUACGUAUAUAUACACGCAUCAGAAAUUUAUCAAGAUGGAGCAUAGGUAGAAAUCAGGGCAAUUUCGGGGGUAUGCAUUUGGGGGGUGCAUGAUAUAGGAUGGAGCUCAAUACAGGGCGAUAUAGGAGGCACGUGGGCACGUCUGGCUUUUUUGGAGCUUUGAGUCUGGGCUUUGAAUUACAUGUAUCUCAAAAGCUGUACAGUGACCUCCCAGGGCCACCAGAACAUGGGCAGUAGAUACGAUAGGCAGCACCUCAAAUUUCUACAAGAAGCUCAAGUCAAAUGAAAUUCCCACCCAUUCAUUAGUCUUUAGAGCAGUUAGAAACCUACCGUAAAACGCCCUACGGUGGGGUCCGGAGGGUGUGUAAAGUAAUCGUAAUAUGGAGCACCGUGCUCGGAAAUUUGCAAGUCGCAUUUCUCGAUUUUUGCGUGCAUUGCGUGAUGUAACCACACAGGACGAGCACUUAGUCCAUCUCUUUGCGACUCGACUGGCCUUUGCACUCGUCAUACAGUUCAGCACGCCUGCACAGGCUUGUAGAUUAUACGCAUCCGCCUUUCGCAGCACCCUCUAAAAAUGCCCAGAAGGUCCCAGAGGCCGCGCUAUACCUUUCAGUCUUUUGUUCUAGACGAUAGGUACAACUUCCAGCCCGAAGAGCAACAGCCAGCUAAAGCAGCGCAAGAUAACCAGGACAGAUCAGAUGACGAUCAUGGAGACUAUCUUGAGGAUAUCAGCUACGAGAAUGCCACUUCAUCUCUCAGCUCCAUUUUUAGCAACAGGGAAGAUUGUCUACUGCUCACCAAGAGCCAGGAUAGCAGAGAAGCCCACUUCUUGACACCACAAUAUGAUCUGGAGAGCAGGUCCCUUGAAGCCUUGCAGUAUGGUUUUCUUGCAUUGCGCUUCGUGAAAGUCGCUGGGGGUGAACACCACCUGGUCAGCUUCUGCAGGAAUCCAUCUUGUCCGGACCCAGCAGACGAUGGCAGACUAUAUGAGCUGGCAGACUUUGCAAAUUGCCCAGCAGCAGCUCUCUUUGGGGAUCAGGCCACGCUCUGCACAUGUGCAAAAGCUCUCCUUCUGGCAGUCGGCGGCCCAGAAGCAUUGAAAAGGGAGAUGCAGCAGGCUCAGGUUCCAGACUCAGCAGCACAGCAGCAGGCAAUCAUGCAUGACAGCAGAGGCCAGAGGUUCUCUAUAGUGCGCGCUGGCGACUGCUUCGGGGAUUGGGGGGUGGUGAAGGGACAGAAGUGCCAAACAUGCCCAUCUCAGCGCACUAAGUGCCGUCAUGUACUGAGGACUCAAGGAUCAGAGGAAGGUGAUGGUGAGGCUGCUGAGUGGCUGUCCACUGAGGCAUUCGAGCGCAAGAUCAACGAGGUGACAGAAUUGCGCUGGCUCUUGUGUAUGUAUCUUUGCUCCUCGCAUGUAAGCCUGCUUUCAUUCAUCAGCUUGCUUGAGGACAUUUCUGACUGGCUUGGCAGAACUUGGAUACUGAGAACGGGCAAUUCCGGCUGACAUGCAUAUCUCAGCAGCAGAUCCCAGAAGAGUCUGAGGACGAUGAAGCUGUUCUCACCAUCAUCACAGGUGUGCACAUAACUUGGGCUAUUAGCUCAGCUGAUAGAGCGCACCCUGACAAGGGUGAGGUCGCUGGUUCAAAUCCAGCAUAGCCCACAGUAGCUUGUGGCAGUGCUAGGCAGAUUUUCCUGGAGGUGACACCGUUUGCAUGUAUUUUGCAGAGCGCUGCGCGGGCAGGGCAAGUGUGCCUGCUGAGUGUUGUCCAGACACGAUGGCAUCCUGUCCCAUGUGUGGGCGGUGUGACUGGCAUGCAGAUGACGUGCUUCUUGAGAGAUGCACGGUUUUUCUGCUGGCAGCCGCUGUGGAGACAUCAUUCCCCGUCAUGCGCUGUGGAACACCACAGUGCUCUGGAAAGCUGACCGCAGAUGGCAAGGAGCAUGCCAUGCUGCGGCAGUCAGCAAGACAUGCCUUCGGGUAUGAGCUGCUGUAUGACUGGGCAGCCAAGACAUCUGUUGGGGGCGCUCCUUGGUUCACUUUCUGGCGUGACACCCUGCAGAGGUGCACCCCACCGCCAGGAUUUGCUGUUCAUGCCAUUCGUGCUGUGAAGUGCUGGACAAGCCUUGUGAUGUAAGGGUAAGUUUAAGCUGCUCUCUCAGUGUGACUGUGCAAUCAGGUAUGCUGGAGUGGGUGUGGAUAUUCUGCGCCGGUGGAUGGACCUGCGCUCUGUCUUUCAGAGUGCUACUCUGAAUUUUAUUGAGCUGCAGUUUCUGGACUAUGACUCUGGCCCUGGUGGGUUUGGCUGCGGCCACAACUCUGGAGUUACAGCUGAUGGAAUUACUCUCGGCUACCACCUUGAGCAAGCGCAUUUGGAAGCGCCAUAUCUUGCUGCACAGGUGAUGCUCGCUGCUGUAAAGCAUCUGUUAUCCUCGUAGUCAGAUCCACCUUGCAAAAGUCCCUGUGUUAAGGGUACAAACUUAAGUGAUACAAAUCCUUGUCUGUGAAGGAUCAUCCCAGGAUUCCAGAAAUGAACAAUGGGUGUCACUGACAGGACAGCAGCCUGGCGGCGGGGUCGACAUUCAGCAACAGGAUUUUUGUGCGCAACAAGAAGUUGCGUGACGUGUUGCACGCCUUCAGCUCUUCCAGGAGUGGAGGCGGGGGGAUCAAUGCGGAGGACUAUGAUUGGCUGACUGCAGAGGUGGAGCAGAUGCCCCCGAGUCAGCUCUGCUGCCGUUCCUGGGCGCUGAAGAGAUGGGCAUGCGCAUGUUUGCCUUCAAGGCUCAGCAACCCCUCCUGCACAUCUUGAGCACGAGCGCUCCAGUCUGCCAGCUUGUGAAGCCGUCAGUCUUUGAUGUGGUGGGGCUCAUCACAGAUGGCCACCUUGAGGCAGUGUCUGUGGAAAUGCUGAAGCCUCUCGCUGCCCGUUGCCCGCAUCUUUAUGCCUUCAUCAAGCAGUACAUGGGCCUAGCAGAGAUGCCGCCGCAUGCGACUGCCCUCCUUGCGGUGCUGCUGAAGGUGAGUUUCUCGGGUAGCAACUCGAGUUCUCUCUGUUUGCAGAUCAUGGCGUACAUGCUUUUGCAAUUGCUGCAAGGUUAAAAAAUAUCUAUGUGAGAAGCCAGUCCUUGUGAGCCCACCGUCACCAACACCAUUGAUUGGCAUCAGGAUGCAUGCAUGCAAUGAACAUCUGCAGUGCACAUGUCAUCACUCCUUGUCAAGUAGUACAUUUGGGAAUGCAGGUGGCCAAGCAGGCGUUCGUGGAGGCAGAGCCUCAAACAUGGCAGUCAGUCCCCACCCGCCAGGGGGGCGACCAGCACCGCGCCAACGCAAAUCUGCGUCGAGCCAGCAGGAUGGCAACCACGACUACCAACCCUCUCACUUGGACGCGGGCAGAGACAUUUCUGCGCACUGGGAGCUGGAGUGGUCUGGGUCCAACUGAGUGGCAGCACACGACUCAUGGAGGCUCAGAUGUGUACAGGCCCCUGCGCGCGUACGCUGCUGACGGCCGCAGUUUCGGCACCGUGCCCACGUGCACAAAGCAUCAGCGGCAGACAAAGAAGCUGGUGCCUGGCUGCCAGUUCUUUUGGUGCCUAGAGUGCCGCAAGUGCAACCUCUUCGUGGUAAUGGGGGAUGCUGAGUCACCUCGCACAAUCUUUGAGGCACUGUACACGAGGUUUCCGUCAGCGCCGCGGCGCUUCUGCUUUGACAAUGGAUGCAACGUGCACAACUACAUCCUCAACCGUGAGCCACAGCACUUCAAGGAGAUGGAAGUGUACAUUGACGAGACCCACUGGCAAGGCCACAAGCAUUGCUCAGUAGGGUACAACACUGGUGAGUCAAAUGUUGUCACACUCCCCAGACGACAUUGCACCACAUUCUACAUAGCUGAAGCAGCUUCUUUGGAGCCCUAAGGCCAUUGGAUCCUGGCAUGCAUGUCUUGUGUGCUUAGCAUGUGCUAUAAUUCUCCAAAGCAAAGUCAGCAUCUAUGCAUGUGCAGAGAGUCACCUGUAAUUCCAAAUUUACAGAUAUUUGAUGACGAUUAGGAAUUUGAUCGAGACUCCAUGCUCAACUUCUGCUGUGCAUGUGAACAGGGGAGUACAAGGAUUUUGUCAACUCCCCGCUAGCGGAAGAGAAGAAUAGAUUCCUAGGGAUGGCUCGCACGCAAUGUGCUUACAUGCAGCAGAUUACUUUCUUGAGAUAUCUGAGAUAUUUCUUAUACCGCCUCAACAAGCUAGAAGCAAUCACCACCGCCGGUCAGUGCUGGUGGCGGCGGCCGUCCAAAGGCCUAAAUGUAUGAUCAUCCUAAAAUGCAUGUGUCAUUAGGCCCAUGAAGAGUGUCGACCUGUAUUAACUACUAUAUUUGCUAAAGGCCAUGGUGGUUCAAAAUGAGAUCAUUGUUGUGAUCUCUACAGAUUUUAGUUUUGCCGUUGUCACACUCAGGAUAUAUAUAAAUAUGUUUUCGGGCACAUGCAUGCAUAUGAUUCUCCAUGAAUCAGGGCGCCACAUGUACAUCAUUCUCAAAGUGUGCAUGCACUUCACCUUGAUAGGCACUAUGGCAUGUGGACAUGCUCACAUUCAAACCCAAUCCAUCUUCAAUUGUAUACAUGUGUGAGAACAGAUUCCUUGAGGAACACAUUCACAUUUGGUAGACGGUGUAUGGAAACAGCUUCUUUUUCCAUCAUGGGGCUUUUGUCUCAGCUGGUCAUAAAAUGAUGUGUGUGCCUGUUCCUGAUCUUCACGUAUGGCAUGAGUUUAUUCUAUGGUUGGUUGUUGACUGUCAAGAAUACUGUUGCACUGGCAGUUUCAUUCUACAUCAGAAUGAUCAUGGCAAAGUAUCUGGUGGUUUUUAUAGAAUGAAAUAUGCUCAUAGUCACGGCCACAAAUUCUUGCCGCAAUCAACCUGAUGUUUGAAUUCUUGGCUUCCUUUGGCUAUCCUGUGACUACGAUUGUAGAUCAUUCUUUUCAAAUGCACUAUUACACCGCAAGCUUAUUGCCUUUAUUGCAAUGAGAACGCCACACUCAUGGGCUGUAGGCCACAGCCGUGAUUCUAGUGGAUGGCUUGUGGGGACGCUUGGACUUCCUUGCAGGUGCAACUCCGGCAGGCAGUUCCAUUGACAGGACAUGUGCAGCCGCCAUGGUGCCUGGUGUGGCAGGGGAGGCAGUGCAUACCCUGCCAGGGAAGUUGCCCAGCCGAGCCACGUCACCUGGAACGCACAAGAACUUUGCAAUCACUGACAGCUGGAACAUCUUCACUUGACAAUGUACACACGCUAUAAAGUGCUCCAGCGACAGGCUACCUCAGUGAUUCUCUUGAAAUGUGUAUGUGUAUAUGGUCAUGAGAAGGACAUCGGGAAGACUGCUACCUGUGCUGUCAUGCGCCGCAUCAGCCCAGUGCACGCGCCUGACAGGUAUGGUGGCGGUCUCAGCAGGUCCCCCCGUUGAUGCUGCUUGGCCGCAAGUCUGCUGAAUCCUUGCCCCCCCUGAUAUCCCCAGAGCGCAUUUUGAGACGUCUGAGAUAUAAUACUGGUCAUGGUCUGAUAUAGACUGCUUGAAUGUGCAGUAUGCUUUUCUUGCUGAGAGGAUGCAUAAAUUCAGUCAACUCAACCAAGAGAAUAGUCACCUGCCAGCCGUGCCCCACGCCGAGUGGUGCUGCCGUCAGCAGCAGGGCGAGGAGGAGCAGGCACGCCUUCUAUUGCAGCGCAAUCUCCAGCAGGGAGCGCAGACCCAACGCGCCCUGCCAGAGGCAUCAGGCACCUCAUUUCUUGCGCACAUGGAGUAAUGCAUGCAUUCUUGGUACGUGAACAAGAUAAUAUGCUUAAACAAGCUCGCUGUCAAGUUCGUGCUAUGCUUUUAUUAGGGGCGCACUCUGCCUCAGCUGCCUGACGGUGCUGCGCUCCUCCAUUGAGCAGGCCGCUGCAUCAAGGUCCCCAGCAACGCCAUCCCCGCCUUCUGUGGCAACCCCGGUUCCACCACUGACCUGCACACCCGCAUCGCCCCCAAGAUCUGCGGCGGCGCCAGCCCCAUCCGCUGGACUGUCGCUCGGAACAGGCAGAUCUCUGCCUUGACAGCCCCCGCUGGCCGCAAGCUCACUGGCAGCUCCACCCUCAGCGACAUCUGCACCGCCGUCCGGCACAGCCCCAGCGCUGAGCUGAGCAUCCUCACCACUUGCUGUGGCAUCUGGGGUCCCCUCACUGCUCACUGAGCCCAACCACACCAGAUGUGAGAUGAAAGAACUAUUCUGAGCCACAAAAUUAUUUUUGCACUGACCAGCAUUUUUGCAAAAGUCAGUAAGGGACACAGCCAAUCCCUCACAGGGGCGUGAUAAAGAGAGUGCUGAUCACCUUCGCCAGUGCCUGGCACCAGUAAGGGUGUUAUGUACUUGCGGUAAGCUUCCAAGAUUGCCUUGAAACGGAAAUUGUCCUGAUUGAUACCUAAGGCCACCCUCAAUCUUUUCUUCUUCUUUCCAAUUGGAUUGAUCUUCUUGACCUACAGAGCAAGCUUCAUUCAGAUCAGUGAAGCCCAUCCACAGAUCUCAUAAUGGGUCACCUGUAAGAAUUGAGAGCAACAGCCUCAAGCGUGACUUACCACAGCAAUACCUCCAGCAGCGUGCGCAGCGUUGUGCAGGUCAUGCAGGGCUAUUGUGGUUCUGCACAAAGUGAUAGUGCCGUCCCGCACAUACAUCUUGUUAUGCUCUGCCUGUGGUAGUAGGCUGACUUGGCAUUGUUUGAUGCCUCCCUGUGUUGUGCCCUCUCCGUCCAGCAGCCACUGUCCAUCCACCUUCACAACUCCAGGCGCAAUAGCAUCACCUGCAACAAGGGAGCUAAGCUACGACUCAACUGAAUCGGGUGCAUGGCACCUACAGGUGUCGGUGUCACUUGUGUAGAAACUAUAAAGUUUAUGUAGGAAAUUUGACUCUUCUUGAGGGUCAGUGAAUCUCACCUGCAACGUCCUGCUGCACCUCAUCAUUGCCCACUGAGCCGUUGAAACGUCGCAUUGCAGCAAGGAUUGCCUGCUGGGCGAGCGGGUCAAACCCAAGACUGCCCACCUUUGCGGUCAGGCGCUUCAAGAGCAAAUCAUUGGCUGGCUGGGCUGCAUGCUCCAUGAUGGCUUUGAAAACCUCUGCUGAUUCUACAGGCUCCAUCUCACGAGGCCGCUUGUAUACAACAUCAGCAGGGAACCACGGCGCAAUUCUCACCACGCUGUCAUGAUCUGGCAGGCUGUUGUAAGGCAGCUUCCCUUUUCUGCCCUUGAUGGCCACAUCCAAGAAUUCCUCCAACACUUUGAUUUGCACUAACUUCUCCAAUUGCUCAAACGUCUGAUCUUUGAAGCGCUGGGCCUGCUCUGCCAAUCGCACCUACACAGUGAUGGGUCAGACAGAGUUUCCAGUAGCAGUGCAGGAGAGCCAUACUUUCACAUCAUAAUGAAUCGAGUUAGAGCAUUUCACACCUGCAUCUUCGCCUGAACUUGGAAGGCGGGCAACACCUCCUCUAUGUUCAGCCAGUUGGGGCCGGCAAGCCCUGCCAGCCCCUUGCUGGCUCUGCUCUUUAUAUCAUUACUGGUGUUCACAGUGACCAGCAUGAAAUCUAAGCCGCAGGUCCUGCAAAUCAAUUCAAAUUUAGCAAAGGCUGUCAGCUGUGGGCUGAGGAACAUAAUAAGAUGUUCUGCAGGCAGAGGCAGGCACCUGUGUAUGUGGACGAGCUUAUCCAUCACAAUUUUUAGCCCGUUUUUCUCUUCUUCAUUCCUCCUUUUCUUGGAGGUGAUGAUACCCUGCAGCGAUAUCUCCUCAUUUGUCCGGCGUUUGCGUUUAGUUGUAUUUGCGGAUGGGUUGGCAUCAGGUCCAUCGCCAUUAUCCGUCGCAGGAAUGGCUUCAGUUAUCUCUUCAUUCUGCUCAGUACUACUAAGACCAGCAGGUUCGCUUGAGCCAGCCGUGGCACCCUCCAUAGACACCUACACCUAUUGGGCUUGAAGUGAUGACAACUCCUCGGGGGUAAACGACAGUACAAAGUGUUUACAGAACAGUUAUAAUAUCUCCAUAGGACUCCCUAGGGCCUGUACAGCUUGCAUAGGCUCAGAAAAUAUGACUUUGAGAUGUAAGAAAAUAAGGUGCACGGUGCUCUCAUGUACAUGCUAAUUUAAUACAUUCCCUCUCUUUAUCUUGGUAGGUUUUAGGGGGGUUUUCUAGCUCCUUAGAGGGGCAAAGUUCAAAUUCAGAAUUAAGGAAGCGCACCUUGCCCGUGCAAGCCCAAUUGGGCAGCCCAAAGUCAAAUUUCUCACGCUGGAAUUUCAGGACAAUGGCAUGAGACUGCUUCGUCGGAAGGAGUCGCCAAGAGAACCUUCUUGAUUUCUUUCAAGUACACCGCAAUGUGGAAAUAUGACCCCAAUGUCGGAAAAGUCGUUUUCAGGUGCCUGCCAAGUCCCUGCCACAAUGCCAAGGACCUCCUGCCUGCUUCAAAUGCUCAGUGAUCAGUGCAUCGGAAGAGUACUUUCAUCUGUUUUUCCUUUCUGACGUCUGAUUCGCAUACAGGAUGCCUAAAAGAAGGCAAAGAGACACCGAGUUGCCUGUGGAAGUAUGGGCCAAGAUUGCAGCCCACCUCUCGACACGAGAUUGGGUCAGGGUAUCAGGGACUUGCCGCUCUACCCUGGCUGUACGCCUCAAUCUUAUAAACCUGCCAAGGAGCGUCUCGGGUGCAGGUGAGCUUGCUAAACAUCCAGAUCGCUCAGGCUCUGAAAAUCUCGCCAGCUGCAGGAGAACACUGUCCUGUCGUGCUUGAUGCGGUCAUGAUUUGCAGGGAUCAAGUGGGCAUGCACAAAGCUGGGCAGGGCAGAAGUCCUGACGCUGCCUUCCAGCUGCCUGGACGCCAUCGCAGACUUCGUGUGCCAAUCUGGCCGGCACUUCAGUCAUCUAAGGCAGCUUCGCAUCCUUUCACCUAAUCCUGGGGCGGAAACAGCCUCCUGUCUGCCAUGGGUGCUCACUCAAGCCCAUACUCUUGAAGUCCUAGAGGCCUAUGUGGGUAGUUAUCCAUGGUUACCACCACUGGCAAAUUUGAGGCACCUCGUUCUUGAGUUUUAUCAUGAUUUUGGGAAUAUUUCCUGUGCGUUGGCCGGUGCUGUGGCGCUGCAGACUGCAUCAUUACGCGGUCGAGGCUCAUAUAACACUGCACCUCCUUUGCUUUUAGACAGGCUGCUGCAGCUCAAGGUUCUUGUGCUGAAGAAUGUGACACCACAAAGACUGGAGCUUCCUCCCUCCUGCUGUCUGCACCUCCAAGAUUAUGGCGAUCUCAAUAUGAAAGCAAGGGUGUGGGAACCUGUCCUAUCCAGUGUCCGGGGAAUUGGUGUGUUGGUAAGCGGAUUUCAUAAUGAAGGAAUAUUCGAGAGGCUGAGGUUGGAUUUUUUGAACCCGCUGCAGAAUCUUUCCAUUGUGGCCAUCAGAUACGAGCCAGCCUUUGGUUGUGCGGGAGCCACUCUGAACCUAAAGCCAUUAGCUCAUUUGCACAAGGUUGCAGUAAGCGGCGUGUCACUAGGAAUAUUUCUCCCUGCCAGAGUGUCAUGGGAACAGGCAUCCUUUGAUGCUUCCAAAGAUCUGACGCUCACUUUCGCGGACAUGAACGCCUUUGUCUCUGCUGUUCCAAGGUUUGCAGCUUCUGGCACGAAAAUGAGAGAUGAUUGGAAGGACCAUUUUUGCUGUGCACUGAAGCGGCGGGGCAUCGCGUGGGCGUCAAGAAAGGGGACAAGUCUCAUUUACAACUUUUGGUAUCCUGCUAGACUUGGAACCCUCUGCCGCUCUUGCUGCGGCGGCGCAUGCAUGGAUUGCCUUGCAGCGGCAGGGAAGGCAGUGGCUCAGGAGGUUGCAGCUGAAGCGGCAGCUGAUGUGACCACACAGCGGCGAUGGAAUUAUCACUAGUAGAUUAGGCUGCUGUUCAGAUUACUGAGCACUGCUUACAUUGCUGCUUGUUGUCAUUGCAGUGGCAAGAAAGAUGGUGCCGUGAAGGCAGGGUUGUUGAACAUUGUGCAGUAGUGGUUGUGAAGACUUCUUGGCGGCGAGUCAAUGGCAGCAUGAUCAUGAAGUGUCUGAGCGGGUUGCUGCGAUCGGGAUUUUAUAUUUCUGUGAUCACAACAAUAUGCUACAAGCCUGCAGGCAUAGUAAGCUUGCCAGCUAGCGCUGUAAGAUUGCCACUCUGGUGCGGUGCCAAUGUAGAAAACAGAAUUCGCUCUUGACCUCAAGCUUCCAACGGUCACUCUCCUCACACACAAACUCUCACACAAUCAGCAUUAGAUGGCACAGCAAGAUUUUUUCUGCUUCGUCUGCAGCUGCCAGGUACGCCAUCCUCUCUCUUCACAGAUCAGGUUCCAGAGAGAUUGCAGUUCUGUUAAAUGCACUCCCUGGCUCACUCUAGUCCCUCGUGCUUCUGCAUCAGAAUCUCUCAACACUGGGAAUGGUGCCCUUCUGCUACUCUUAUGCACCACAUCAGCUGCAUGCUACAUCAAGUGCAUGCCACAUCAGCAUGCAAUGUCAAGUCAGGCCGUGCGCCACAUCAGCUGCAUGCCACAUCAGCUGCAUGCCACAUCAGCCACGCCAGAUCAGGCUGUGCCACUGCCAUUCAAGUUUGGGGCAGUGCGCCAGAUCGGGUACCAAUCAGGCCAAAAGUAACCGCACCAACGCCGUCUUCUCUUUUGGGCGGUGAGCCGCAUAAGUCGCACGCCAGAUAAGCUACGCGCCACAUCAGCGCGCGCCAGCAAAAUCAGGCGGUGCCGUCGUCCUGCUGCGGCAGGGCUUCCUGCAGGUUGCGCAGUUUGCGCAUGAGCACCUCCAGCGCCGUCAGCACCACGUCCUCCGCCCUCAGCACGCCCGUCCCCUCCACUCGGAAAAUGAACAUGUCCUGCACAAGGGCAUAGACUCUUCAGAUACCUCUUGGUCCAAAGACUUGGUAGAAGCAACAGCGGCAUCAAGAGCAUCACUUGGGCCAUGUUGCCAGGCCCAAGGGGGCAGGGGCCAUGCCCGAGCCAAGCCACAUCUUCAUGAGCAUGCUGGCUAAUCAGCAACAAGAUCACAUAGGCGCCACUAUGUUCCCUUGACACGUAUGAGUAAAUAUCCAAUCAGCAGUCAUCCCGAGACUUGCCAUGGCAUGAGUCAUGUCUUCUGAUGUGUCUCAUCUGCUUCCAGCCGAACAGCUUUCAUGAGAUGGCCUGCCCAGAGGCAGCCACGGCCUCUGGCAUAUGCACAUUUAGGUGUAUCAUAUCAGUAUAUGAUGAGGGAUGCCCACCUGGCGCUCCUUGAUGGUGACUAAGCCUGGCUUGCCCAGCUCCUCUGCCUUUGCUUCUGCCUCCCCAUCGUAUCUGUACUGCUCCACGUCGUCCAACUCCACCUGCACUCAGCAAGCCAGAAUCUAAGGCCACAAGGUAAAAUGUCGAGGCCAAGUGAGACCAGAAAAUUUAGAACGAAGCUCUUGUCGGUCAUGAUUGCUGUCGAGCAAGGUGCUCAUGAGCACAGAAUUUCGCAAGCACAGUAUUAUGUAAGCAGGGACAAAAAGACAAGCAGUGUUGAACACUAUCCUGUAAGCGCACAUCUCCAUUUGCCAUUGACCAAGUUUAUGUGAUUUGAGGCCUCACACAGAGCCCUGGUGAAGGCAAGAGCAGCACCUGCUGGGUGAGUUUGCUGCAAAUACAUCCUUUGAAAAGGAUUUCGCCCAGAACUUUGCACACUGUCUUGAAGGCAAAAGUCAGCUUCUGCUAAGUUCAACUUGCCAAGAAAGUUUUGAUAGGGGCAAAGCAACACCUGCUUGGUGAUGUUGUUGUAGCGGAAGACUGGGUUGGGCGUGGCCUUGACCCAGUCCUCCUUCUGCUCUUCUGUCAGAGUAUCCAUCAGCGCCCGGUUGAUGGUAAUCUCUGGCAUGUACUGGAAGCUCACCGUCGCCACAGGUAUCCACUUCGCAUGAUCCUGGCAGGUUGCAAAUUCAAAUUCAAAUUCGAACAGGAGCUUGAGCUCAGUUCCCUGGGCCUUCACGACGAGCGAGCCACAGCCUUGGAGCAGCAAUAAUAUGAGCCUGAUCAUGGCUGGGAUGUAGACGUAGAGCGUUGCACGCCUGCCCCAGAGGAUGAGAGCUCUCUCAGCAGGAUGUCCCCAAUGGGCCAGGGUGACGAGCAAGCCCUUUGCACGGCUUUGAAUACACAGAUAAGCUCUUUGUGCUAGUGACGCCCUAUUGACAACAAGUGGCUGAAGGAUGUCUUGAGGCGGCAUGCAGGGGUAAUAGGGGCGGACCCCUGCCUUGGAGAAGGCAGGAUAAGAGGCUCUCAGGGUGCAAGAGGGGCAUGGACAAGGCCCCUGCUUGACAUGGAUGUGCCAAUUCAAGUUGAAACUCCUAAAAGUGGCUAGGGAAGGGAGGGUGCACCUUGCCGAUGCCCUUGCGCGCGAUGGCUUUCAGGCGCAGCUCCUGGUUCUUGCGCAUCUUCACCAGCAGAAUGCCCCGAUUCUCUGGGUCAUACCCACCCGGAACGUAGCCUGCCGGCCACAAACUUUAUUUCUACGAUCAUUGCAAAAUCAGUGCUAAUGCCUCUUCAAGCCUCAGAAAGCUAGGUGCUUUGCAAGAAAUCUCAAUUCUUCCCCUCCAUCCUUCCCUGCCUUGGCAGAUUCUCCAUCAAUGCAUGUCAGGCCCGACCCGACAGAAUCCUGAAUUUCCUCUUCUGGUUUUGCCCGCUCCUUGCGAAUUAGAGCAUGAGAGCCAAGGUGUGCAAGAGCUGCUACAUCCAAUCAACUAGUGUGACAGGGGACAAGGUACUUUCUCAGGAAUACAGAUAAUCCAUGUGAAGGCCUUCCACAAAUCGGCACCGGGCAGCAUCAUUAGAGGCACCAACAGCAAGUAUCUGCAGCAUGUGCAUCUGGCUCACCCACAGGGCGGACAUCAGGGUGGUUUGCGUCCAGUUGCAGGUCAUUGCUGGUCACUUCCAUCGUGUCCUCGCUCGUGCACUUCACGUUCAGGGUCAUCUCCACGUCCAAGAAAUCCGCCUCCCCAGCGUCCUCAAACACUCCCUGUCAGCAAGGACAGCAGGCUUCUCAUCAGAUCCUUGCAGCGACAGCUCAGCUCACCGCUGCAGCAUGCACCUCUGACCAGUCUAUGCAGUGGGUGUGGCGCAGCAUCACAGUCCCCAUGCAAAUCUGUUGUGCUGAAGGAGAUGGGACUGCACCUGGCACGGUAAAGUCCUAGCAAGCGAACUUGAUAAUGCACAUGCAUGAUGCAUGGAAUUGCUGGCAGGUGGGGGAGCGGGGGCACCUUCAUGCCACCUACUGCGCUGCUGACGAGGGGAAUCAGCCCAAGCCGGUGAGCAAUGAAUUCAUCAUUGAGCACUGUUGUGUUCUCCUCUAUCUCCACCAGGUCGAUUGCUAUUGUGGGUACCUGUGACAGGUGUGCCCAAUGGUGUCACAGCUAGUCAUGCAUAUGGUGCCACGAAUUGAAGGUACGGUGAAAAAUGAGAAAUACUGCUAUAGAUUAGCAGUAGUAUUGGACAGCGAAUUAUUCGAGAUGAGGGCACUCACUUCCACAAGCAUGAUGCGUCGCAAGGCAUUGGCCACUGAAGGAUCUGUGUCGCUGAGCACGAACUCGCAGAAAUCAUCUCUCAGAUCCCGUAUCUGCACCUGAGGGACUCUCCGAUUUUCCCCUAGCGUGGCCAUCCUGCACAGAAGAGAGGACUGCUUGCUCAGAUCACUUUGGAAAAUCUGCAAGCCUGAUAUCGGACAAAUCAGUUCUCAUCCAAUUGCUAGUUUAGGAUCAUGUUGAAAGGAAAAGUUACUAUCUCCAGAAUGCUCAAAGGAACAAUCUGAGAAGGCCUUACAGCUGCUGUGAUGGGAAUGGUCGGUCUGAAAGACCUCGUCCUCAAUCAAACACGCAUCAACCCUCAAAUCGAGAUUGCAUUACUGUCGCAUUUGUAAUAAUGUUGCUGCAGAAUACCCUCCGAUUUAGGGAGCAAUAAACUGUUUGUUAGGUGGGCCCUGUAAAGAUUGAUUGGGGCAGUUUGAGUGGACGUCAGCGUGAUCUGUGAAUUCCUUGAAUUAUCCUAGAAGUAUUUAAAUCCUGCUGUUAACAUGAGAUGAGCUCGGAAUGAGGACAAAAUGCUUCGUCAUUUGUGGGAAGCGGCUGGUCAUUGCCACGUGGCGGGGAGAGGUCUGGGGCCAGCACAAUGCGCGUCGAGCAGGAAGAUGCUCAUCGAAAAUUGAUAGUUCAAAAGACAAAUAAUCAUAUCCAUCGCAUGCAUGGGAUCUGCACAUGUCGCGUCAUCUUUCAAGUGUCAAAUAUAUGAACUGAUCUAUCAGCGGCUCUUUACCUCUGUCUUGUUGAACAUAUAUAUCAAUAUUGUUUCUCAAACAAUCUGAAGUUAUUGGAGGACUGCAGUACGUGUGGUUUUAUUUGGGGUGUAAAAGCUAGUUUGCUUCCGAUGGCCGUAUGAGUGUACUUCAUCAGGCUUCUUUCGUCAGUCUGCCGAAAGUUGUGAUAGUUUUUGAAAUCCUUGUACAAUUUUGAGAAUUGCACGGCUUCUUACAAGCCUGCAAGCUCCAUGCAGCAGGGGCACAACAGGGACCAAGUCUAAUGCAGCCAGGAACAAAUGGAGUUGGCAGAGCUGUACUGUUGCAGGGCUUACUCUGCCUUGGAUUGGCGACUUUACAGUUGGGAGCAGCGAAUACUUCCCCGGAUCAGUUUGCCAUGCCGGACUUCUCCAUAUAUCAUACAAAGUACGAGUUCUGGUACCCUGACUACCUAGAACUGUGCUACUGUUCUGAUCGUACAUGACAUUUUGAUUAGUUUUUACACAGUACAUUACGCACUAUCAUACUGAACCUCUUUACUGAUGUGAUGCAGAGAUCAGGUGUUCGAAGAGGUUGAGAACUUGGUCAAGGCAAAUGCCCAGAUAAUGAAGGUGGGAAGGGCUGCAUGCGAGACCCACGCACCAUGUGAAUGACUUAGUUUGACAACUUCUGAGGAAAAUGACCGAUUCCCCGUUUUCUGAUGCAGUUGGACGUUCUGGCCAUCUCAGACGAAGUCUCGGACCCGCCCUACCGGUCGUCAUUGAAGGUGCGACCCAACAGCUGCACCAUGCACAGUGAUGCCAUGAGUUCUGAACAUUUUCCAGCAUUGUCAUGCGUUGCCAAACCACGUAUUUUGGCAUACAGUGCUGAUUCUGAUUGCUGAAUGUCCAGGUCGUGACUGUGGAGCCUGGAGGACAUACCAGGGAUCAUGACAAAAAGAUGCGGCUCCUGCUGGUGAGAAACUCGCCUUUAUCUCUGUGUGCAAGACUUGAUCCUGCAGGAUUGCUUUCUCAGCGAUGCAGUUGAUGCUGCCAACAUCAUCAGCUCUGAUAUUCGUCAUGAAAUUGAUGUUGAGAUGUUAGUGCAUUACCAACUCCCACAAAAGGAUGAGGAAGACAUUAGAAGAGCUCUUUCCCUCCCAUUUGAGGGGUGUUCUUGAAGCCCAUUUCUCUUGCGCUGUGGCAGAAUUACGGGGAGCAUGGGAGGGAGCUGAUAACGGUGGAGGUGGCGCUGCGGCUGCUGCAGAUUCUGGCGGACCCCUCAGCUGAGCUGGAGCGAGGGGACCGACCUGGGGGACCUGGCAAGGCCCGGCUGAAGGCCCUGCUCCACAAUACAGUCUUCAAGGUGACUUGCUGAUGACCAAUCGACUCGUUUAAAGCAUACCACAGCUCUGUGCACGCCUGCUGUAAGACACGCCGCACAAGGCCCCUUCAUAUUGACAGUCCUGCACAUGUCCAGAUAUCCAGAUGCCACAGACAUUACAUUAUUUUUUCUUAUCCUAUCUAGAGGAUUAGCUUAUCUCACAGUCCGCAGGCGGCAUGAGGGAUUGCCCCGUAUUGUCUUUGAUUCUGAAAUUCGAAUCUGAAUGUCAUACAUGCAUGCAUGCAAUAUGGUGGUUGCUGAUGCGCAGAUUGUGCCGAUGGAGAAUGAGAAGGGGCGGGACCUAGUGGAGGGGGGAAAUUUAUGCGAGCGCAAGAAUGGGCGCGGAGUUGACACCAACAGGAACUGGGAGGUUCACUGGGGGCACAAGGAGAAGGAUUAUGACCCCAAUGAGGAAUAUCCCGGCACCAAGCCCUUCAGGCAAGUCCUUGUGCUGCCACCUCAUGCUGUUUAUCAUGCUGUCGCAAUUUGCAUGCACCACGCACUGCUUCUGUGACUUCAGCAUGUCACUUUGUUCAUGAAUUGUAGAGAAUCAUCAUCCUAUCACAGAUUCAUGAUGGGCGUCAGGCAUCUACUGUUUUCUUGACACCAACAGUGCCACCUACUACUCAAUGUUCCAGAAAGGGAGUGCAAUUUGUGUAAGAAAAGUAUGACUGCCGGCUAAAGAAUGGGGUCUAAUUCAACUUCAGUAUUUGUGCAAUGCAGCGAGCCAGAGGCGGCAGCUUUGUUGGCGCUCGCGCGGAAGUUCAAGCCGCAUGUGUGGAUGAACGCGCACUCGGGGAUGGAGGCGCUGUUCAUGCCUUAUGACCAUCUCCCACAUAUCCCCACUGGGGAGGUCGCGCAAGCCACUCUGCAGGUGGGCAUCAUCAUCUUUGAACCACAUUCUUCAGCAUGCAUCCGUGGGUUAUCUGCAGGGAGUGCCUGACUGCAUGACAUCAUGUGUACAUGUGCGCCGACUUCUGCUGGGCAUAUGCUGGCAAGGGCACACGCUCUUUGGUGGGGCCCUGUUCUGCGUGAGAGCAAAUCCAUUGAAACUGCGCAGGUGCUUGAGAAGCUCAACAACGUCACUUGCGGCGGACGCUGCGCAUUGGGAUCGGGAGGGAAGUCAGUGGGUGGGUUCCCAAGCUCCAAACUUACUGCAGUGUGUUUUGUUUGCACCUAUCAUUACGGCAUCUUGAGAGUAGGAAGUGCUUCUGUGUGGGGCUAGCACUGGCUCAGGCCAGUCCAAAGAGGCAUGCAUGCUGUUCAGCAAGUUGCCACUUAUCUGUGACCUGACACAGUGUGCUCACACCGCUUGUUUGAACAGAUAUGACAGCAAUUUGCAGGCCAGCAAGCACGCCCCUUCAACGAUUGAGCGUACAUGCCCUGGAAAAAGCAUGUGUCGCACGCUCCAUGAAAUUUUAAAAAUGCAUGAUAAAAUGAUGAAUGCAUGCAGGAUAUUUGGCACAUGGCACUGCGACGGACUACAUGUACGAGAGGCUGAAGGUUCCGUUGUCAUUCACGUGGGAAAUCUAUGGGGACAACGACGCGCACUUCAAUGAUUGCUUCCGUAUGUUCAACCCCGUCAGCCUUGAAGCCUUCGACAAGGUGCGGCCCCUGAUGUAACCUGUGAUGAGGCAAGUUGUGAUGUAGCUUCUCUGGUAAUAAGCAUGCAUGCACUAUACUUUUAGCAGAAAUAAAACUUGAAAUAUACUGGUGGCUGAUCUGGGUGCAGCUUGCAUCUGAAUUUGUCUUGCAAGCUGGAAAGGAGGUGUUGAGUGGUAUGGCAUUUUGGCAGCUUCUUAACUCCAUCCUCUGAGCUUGCCACACACUGUGAAACUCAUGCUGCACCCAGCUCGUCUGAUGAGGCCACCUGUGCAGCUGUCAAUGACCCCUUGCUCAACCCCUGAGGCUUAGGGUGUAUCAGUGUCUCCAUGACUCUGCAUGCAGGUCAAAUGCACGCAUUAAAAAGAAAUUGCAUAUACAAUUAGAGUUGCCUUAUCCGCUGAAAGCUGUCCCCUUAUUGGUGCGCACAGGUCGUGACAAGUUGGGCUGAUGGAAUAUUUGCGCUCCUAGAGCUGCUGCCCUCACACCCAGCCAUCCCACGCACCAACACACAACCCCAUAGCGGGGGCCGCAAGGUGCGCCAAUCAGUUCCCAAUCCCGCCCAAACAGGCCGGUUUUCUUGCUAUGUAUUUUUUGAGUUGAUCUCUUGAAUCGCCCGGAUUCGCUGUGCCUUUGUCUUGCUUCUUGACUCCCCUUUGUUGUGGGGCAUGACCUUGAUUCCCGGCCACUCAUGCAGAACUCAACCCUGAUGCGCUUGUUCUCCAACUUGAAAUGUGAAAAUUUGAAAUAUAGGUUUUGAACCGGGUGACAUGACUAACUGCAGGUGGAGCCCGGCGCGACGCGCAGCAGCAGGGAGGGAGUGUCAGAUGGAGGGAACGCGUCUCCAGACAGGCGGCUGGGGGCGGCGGUGCAGGGGUGGCAGAACCGCAUGAGCGAGGCGGCGAGGCUGCGGGUGAUGCACUUUCUUUCCGGUGGAAUGGUCUUGUCAGAGGACACUUACGCAGAACAGCUUGCACUUUGAGAAUAGUGGCCCCUUGCGCGGCCAAUCAGACACAAUUUGGCCCCAAGGGAAGCUCGCUCGGAAAAGCUGAUUUCUUUCAUUACCGAGACAUGUGCUGCACAGCAUCUUGUUGCUGGAGAGCAAUCGUCUCUUCCCUGGCCCCAUCCGAUUGCCCUGUUAGGGCCACCAAAUCUGAUGUGUCUUUGUGGCCGCUGCUCCCCCCUGAUAGCGUAGCUCCUGAUGUUUUCUGCUUUGCAAUGACACCUCAGGUGUCCGUAUCUCCAGAUUGUUGGUAUAUCAUGCUGGCUCUGGUGAUGCUAGUCAAGCAUGCAGUCAGCCCGAGAAUGAGUGAAAUUGAUGGCAUAUGACUGACUAAAUGGUGCGGCGCAGGUGUUCGACGCCCCGGGGAGCCGCAAGGGUCUCAUAGGGGGUCUAUGCGUCGCGCUGGUUGCCAUUGUCGGCUUUGUGGUUCUAGUCCGAGGCGGCGGCCGCGCGGCAGCUGCCAAGCGCGCCGCCCGGCGGAAGCGCGAGGAAGCUGUGCUUUAGAAAUUGAAUUUGAAUACUAUUUUUGAAGACGUGAAGACUUGUAUUGUUUGUACUGUGGCAAUGCUGAUACGACCUGUCAAAAAGGUCAUAGGACCCGCAACAGUUGCUUGUUGCAGUCAUAUGUAUGCAAGGAACAGAGACAUGACUUCGUGGUGUGCUGUGAUGACGCAAUGUGGAUGGUAUGCUUAUUGACUGACAGCAUUGACCUAGAUCUUAAGAAAUUGUGACCAACUGCGUAUCACCGAUCCUUUCAAGACUGGGAAAUUUACACCACUGAACAAGAAGGGCAUACAACUUAAUUGCAACACGAUAGUGUCAGGUGCUUGGCGUUCAUUAUUGGCAAUCCAGGCUUUCUCGUGCAACGGCCUUCCUCUCCUUAACACUCUCAACACUUUCCUGCAUGCACUCCGCAUCCAAACAUCACUUUCCUCGGCUGGACUGCUCUGUCAACUUUCCUCGGCCUGACUGCUCUGAUCCUUGUUCCGUUUCCUGACUCUUUUCCUUUUGGGCUUCUCCGCGCUCUGCUCUGCGCCCUGCUUCUGCGCCUGAUCUGGCGCAGGCCGCUUUUUCUUUUUCAUGGACAGAGGGUUGGGUCCUUUGGCCCCACUGCGCCGGAAUAUGCUCUUCUCUUUGGGCCCCUUUUGCAGCUCUGCCAGCUCAGCAAGUGCAUGCUGACUCAGCUCAUGCUUCUGCACCCCCAUGUUGCUGUCAUCCACCUGCACAUGACCCUCACAUGUCAAUGCUGUGCAAGGCGUAAUACUGAAUCGUGCGUAAUAGUAGCAGUUGUACUACUUGAUGUUCCGCCAAGAGGCAUUCUCUCAACGCCGAUAAUAGUUCAUGCACAGGCUCUGGUUCACAUCAGAGCAGGCCCAGUGUAAGGAGGAAUCCUUUAAAGUGUUUCCAACAGCAUAUUGCUUUUGGAAUCUGAAGAAGGGUGAAGAAGCUCAUUCUGCAGGUUUGUAUAUCGCAUCAAGAGCAGGCUACAGCAUGCAAAUAUCGAGAAGACUGGAGAGCAAUAUUUCAGGUGAUGCUUGAUGUACCUAGUCCUUGACCACUGGAAAAUCUGCAACAGUAAUGAUGAUAAAAAAACAGCGGUCACCUGUUUCAUGGCUCGUCUCUGUGCUUCCGAGGGCUGCUCCAUUUGGACGCCGUUCACAUUCGCAAACACCGAAGCUCCACCAGGCAGUUUGCCCAGAGCCACCCGGAGGGCUUUGUCCUGGGUUGCUACAAAGUAGUGCUCCUGAUUGUCCAUCCCUGCAUAGAACAAUAUGUGCACAAUUGCACCACAUUCCUUCUCUUGUGACCUUCUUAGGUUCACAACCCAAGUGGCCUACUUUCUUGUCUGACAUUAGUAAAGGUGGCCAUUUUGGCAGGGUUGCAAUGCUUGACAGCAUAUACAUCAUCUUCAUAUCAGGGUCCAUAGACAUCGAUGCACUAUCAGGAAAUGGACAUGCAGAGAGGUCAAUGCUGUCAAUGCUUGCCUAUGUUGUCCAGUAUGCAGUCCGUUGUGCUGAGCGCCUGAUCAUCGUGUCCACAGGACAGGUGCAGACCUGCCUUCCUGGCAGCUCCAUACGUCCCUGAUCACAUUCCCAACCUUUAGAAGUGGGACUUUUUUAAUAGGAUUGGGGUCCCAAAGAGUAUUGAGCAUUUCAAGAUUAUAGGUGUCAAGUCAGGCAGCGUUUUCACACCUGAAAAGUCGUUGCCCAAGCCUUUGAGCUCCAGCAGUGAGCAUCUGGUAACAUAUAGCUUGACUGGGCCGCCUAGCAGCUUCGCCAGGAUCUCAGCUGGGUCCCCCAUGCUGCAAGGCACAACAAUUGGAACGUGAAGACCUUGGUAACCUUAAUCACGCUAUGCGGAAUGCUGCAGUCAGCGUCAAGAAUUACACUGAGAGGGACCAAGAUGUGUUGAACAACUGCAGCAGGGGCGCACUGGGAUUCUCUGAGAGCGUGCACGAAGUUGCCAUCCAGGAUCACCUGCAAAUAAAAGAUAUUGUUAAAACGUCCAGAUCUCGAUUGUGCUAUUCAGGAGAGACACCGGGGAACUUGCUUUGCAGGCACCUUGAAAGGUUUCCGGAAUCCAUAAUUGAUUUCGUAAAACUGGACCGCCCGUCUCGUGUGCUUGUGUUUCAGGCGACGCAUAUUAUGAGGUGCGUAGAGACAACUUCGAUCCGAUUAUCAGCCAAAAGAGCUGCCUUGAUCUGGACUCUCCAAUUGUUUGUAGGAGGGCUCACGGAAUGAAGGGCGGUGAAAGGAACUCAAAACAAAGAUAUACGAAACUUUACUUGGGGUAUUUUUGUAGACUUUGGCCCCGAAGUCCGGCUGAUUGCCAAUCAGUGAUGCAGUCUGCGCACGUGCUAUUCGGCUGGCUUCCUCUUGCUAGGAAGCUACAAGUUAGCUCUUUUGCUCGGACAAGCAAUCUGUUGACGUACGGUUUUAAUUUCACAGGCUAGCUAAAAGCCUGGAAGACCUGUUUAUUGGGAUGAACGCACCUUGAUCACUUGUCGCGACUGCCCGUUGGCCAUCUGCUUCCAACAGUUCCAUAAGAAAUUGUUCAAGGCCAAAGCUAAAUGGGGAGAUCAGACGCAACAAAAAAUUGACUAAUCGAAUAGUGAGGUCAUACCCAUGGCAUUGCUGGUCAUUUCGGGACAGCCCUGCAGUGGCAAAUCUACAGUGGCUGCUGAGCUCACGCAGAUGCUGGUGGGAAAGGGCCUGGAAGUGAUCAUCAUAGACGAGCCUGGCCUCAGCAUGACUCGCAACCAGAGUUACAGGGGUAAAUGGUCAUCCUAUGGACCUAGAGCCUGACGUGUAUUAGCCAUCAUGGCAUGUCGAAGACCAGCAGCUGCUGACAGUUCUGCCUUGCUUGCAGACACGGUCAGUGAGAAGAAUACGAGGGGUAAAUUGAAAUCCGCAGUGGAGAGAUCCAUAUCUAAGAGGCACUUCAUCAUCCUAGACUCCCUGAACAACAUCAAGGGCUACAGGUGAGCUCCUUCCUCACCAUCAUUCAGCCCUAUACCAUGGCACGCUGUUCCUUCCCCCUCUCAAGUACAUCGUCCUCGAUGAGCUUGGAUCUGAGCUGUACUGGGCCCACAGGUAUGAGCUGUGGUGUAUCGCCCGGGCGGCCGGCACGCGCUGCUGUGUGGUGCACUGCGCAGUGCCCAAGGAGCAGGUCAGCUAGCAUCACUAUCAGCCAGCUUCUAACUCAUCCAAUGUCCGACUUUCAUUCUCACCCAGUGCCCAGCAUGACAUCCAUGCACUUGCAGAUUACUCCAAGGAUGCCAUUCUUCCCUUUGCGUAUCUUUGUCCUGGUAUUUUGCGCCACAGCAGGACAACAAAAUAGGGAGGCAUUUGCAUAUCUCACGUGCUGCAGGCGUGGGCAUGGAAUGAGGAAAGGGCACAAGGCAAGGACGCCUACAGCGCAGAAGUGUUUGAGGACCUGUGGAGGCGCUAUGAGGAGCCGGACGCGCGGCAGCGGUGGGAUGCACCGCUCUUCAGGCUGGCACCUGAUCAGGGGAAAGACACCAUGCAGCCGGUCUUGCAGGUGCGCAGCAGUAGAUGUGGUAAUCGUGUCACCCCGGGUUUGUGUGUACCGCCCGGGAUGCUUGCCCAAGCGUCUGGCAAAGCAGUCUUGCAGGUGCGCAGUGCUUGGAUGUAUCCUGCCCAGUGACUCCCAGAACGCUUGGGCCUCUGGGAAUUCUGGUCAGGCUUUUGAACAACAGGCAUGGCUGCCCAUGCUAUUGUAAGGGUAUUUGUGCUCGGACUGCACCAUGCAGCUAGAUAAGUAAUGUACUUUUCUCCCUGAAUAUAAUAUGCUCUGAUCUGGUAUGCUCUGAUCCUUACAAGCAGUUUGGAUUUUUGCGCCCAAGACCGCGCCCAAGAGCAUUCAGGGCAGGGUCUUCUGAUGCCGUCUGCGCAGCUUCAUAAUGUGGAUGAGCAACCUCUCUCUGCAAACUCCGUAUCAAAUGAAAUACCUGAAGCAUGCGCAGGGGGUGGUUGAAUCACUGACGGAGGAGGCCGGCCCGCGGCAGCGCUCGGUGGUGGCCAAGCAGCUGCAGCCGACGCAGGCGACGACUAAUGCGCCGCUGUCGGCGACUAACCUGUUGCAUGAGAUCGACGGCGGCGCGCAGGACGUCAUCGGCCGCAUCUGCGCCGCGCAGGUGCAGGCACCUGCCUGAUAUUAUUAGUGAUAGUUCUAAACGCAUGGAGGCAUGAGAGGCAUAGGUGUGCCUGCAGCCCAGCUCCAGGCAAACUAGACUUGCCACAUGGUAGCAACAGUAGGCACCAACCGCUGCAUGUUUUUACCAGCGGCCAGCCUAGUUGCCUGACUGUGUGGCAGUGUCAGAUAUUGCUGGCAGAGCUCCCUUGAGAUGCCAGUGAGCAGGGCUCCCUGCAUGGAAGCCUUUUCCAGGCUCCUCAGCCUUGUGGACAAGCCACAGAAAAUUCAUUUCUCUCCAGGCAGGCCUCACAUGUGUCUGAUAUGCACUUGGGUUGGCAUUUGGUGGUGUAAGGGAGGGAAAUCUUGAAAUUAGCAGCAUUUCCUGAACAGGGGAAUGCUGCAGAGGAAGACAUUCUUUCUUGUCUCACGGGGAGUUUGGUUGCUCUGCAGGAGUUGGCUGGCAGCAGUGCAGCAGGGAGGGUACAGAUGGGCGAAGAAGUGGAUGCUCUGCAGCUUAAUAGGCCUGUGACACUGGCAGAGCUUCGGCGGCACAAGAGGGUGUUUCUGAAGAUGUCCACGCAGAGCCUCGCCUCACGGUUGCCUGACAGGCAGUCUGCCCGGCGCAUGUUUGUGAACUACUUGCGGGAACAUUUGGACUAGACAGUCUGCAGGAUGCUUGAGUCACUGCAAUCACUGGCAGUGGCACAUGCAUGUCACAGUUGGGUUAUUUAGAGAGACUCUGGAAGAUCCGGAGCGCCUCGGGCACCCUCGAUCGUCUCCGAUGUGACAUACCGUCGUACAGGGUCCUCUUCUGCAACGCCUGCACUGGGUCUGUUUUGCCGCAAGGAAGCAUCUGUCCCUAAUUGCUGCACUCGCAUCGAUUUACCAAUCGUACUGUUCACAAAUCUUCUCCCGCGUGACGAUGUAGAAACGCUCUCUCAGACUGCGAGAGCAGAAAGCCAGGAAAAAUCCUACCUGCUGAUUUGGAUUCUCACGUCCGUUCUGGACACUAGUGAAGAUCGAUACGAGCCCAAAACCCCUGAAUCUGUAAGUAGGACAGUCCCUGCUAGGAUAGCUUCAGCAGUGUUGGUUUCGCAAGGUGCGAGCCGUGCUCCGUCUUAUCCUGCAGCCACAAGACUGACGUCUGCAUUCAUAUCUCCACAAGCCAUCACAAUGCACAAAGCGAUCAUAGGAGUAUUGACAUGAAUCUCCUUUCGCGACAAACAUCCUGUGUGAGCUCUCCGAGACUAGCUUGUACUUGACGUGUCGCCCCGAUGCGCCGUCGUAGAUGUGACACGCAUACCCGCCAAAACAUGUCCAGAGCCGUUAGGUGCUAUAAUUCCUCCGCCGAGUGACUCGAGUAGGCGUGCGUACUGCAAAAUUGCAAGCGGAAAAGUGAUGCUUUAUUGCAUCUUCUGACCCGCAUCGAACAUCCUAUCCACAAAACGAAUUUUAGUAAUCCACAUCUUCUUGGAUGUUUCAGCACGUGCUGUGAUUUCCCAGGCAUUUGUGAAAAACCGAUGUAUCUUGAUAUCAAUGAUGCCCUUAGAGGAUCGGUUGGCACAUCAGAGUACUUGUUGGGCAGAUUCAGCACGUGAUCCAUCUCUGGUAUCAGUGGAUGCAUUCACGGUGGACACAUCCUGGACUGUAAGGCAGACUUGUGGAUGAUCGAAUAAAACUGGUCGCAGCAUUAAGGGCGGCAGUGGACCUUAACGAUACUCGUGGCGGAUAUGCAGUGCAUUUAGUAUACAAGAUGGAACAGCAAGCACUUCAGCUCUUGAAACGGAAGCUCGAUGCUCUGAGCUAUAUGGAGCCUGUGGACGAGCACAGCGCCCCCCUGGUGCAGAGAUUAGUUGACGAUCUCGUGCACACGACAGAGAGCUACAGGGGCCUCAAGCAGCAGUCCCUGACGCACCACCACCACAUCUCCAGUCUGAAUGACAAGGUGUUCCAACAUACUGAUCACCCUGCGUUACAGCAACUUACAUCACGGACGAUAGAAGGCAGUCCUAUUUUAAAUCUCAUGGCAGUUCAAUAUCAGGGUAUGUGCUUGCGUCUCUGCUCAGGUUGAGGUGCUGCAGAAGGACUGCAGCAGGCUGGCAGGCGAGAACAACCAGCUUCACCUGCGCCUCAUCAAAGAGACCGAGCACUCUGACCGGCGAGAACGCGCGCAUUACACACAGCUCAAGGUGCAUUCCUCUCUGUCAAUCACUUCAACUUUUGUUUUCUGCUCCUUCCACAGCCUGCAAAACUGACAGCCAAUUCGUGAAAUGGGUGCACAACCUCUUGUGGCUGCGAAUGUUAGAAGAUCUCCCUGAGGCAAAGCUUUGGCAAUUGUGUCUGGGUGCAGGCCUUUGAGGAGCAGAUCUCUCAGCUGUCCUUCUGGAAGCAGAGCACCCAGCAGCGGGUCCUGGGCUUGGAGAAGGAGAAUGGGGGCCUCAAGCAGCGCCUGCAGCAGUUUCUCACUGAAGAUGACAGCGGUGAGUCUUCCUGUUCUUGACGCCAUGCUUCAUAUACUCUUUGCAACUCCUGAUGGGAGCCUCCUAUCGAGAGGCAGUGCUGCAAAGACUAGGUAGAAUGAAAGCGCUUAUCAUCUGACAAGGUAUCUGCAGCCUGUGCUCGGGCCGCUCUGUACCGCUGGUGAGAUCUCACAGACAUGGAUUCAGCGUGUUAAAACAAUUUUCUGCAUCGGCAGAUGACGAGGCGAGAGGCGCCACCAGGCUUCACCUGGAGGCGCCACUGGAGCCGGCAGCUGCCGCGCAGCUGCCGCGGCCGGCGCCCGGCUCCCCGGCCGGCGGCGGCAUAGAUCUGCUGAAGGCGGCGAACACGCGUGUGGCAUCGCUGGAGGCCGCCAUGCGCUCGAGGGACGGCCAGCUUGCAGCCGCACAGGCAGAGCUGCAGGCCAUGCAGGUAGCAGCCGUGGCCUUUAAUGAUUUAUUGAUAACUUCUUUCUGGGCGAGUGGACGUUCUGAAGGAUCAUUUUAGUCAAACAAAGGCAUGAGGCAAACGCUUGCAUAGAUUUCACACAGCCUUGUGGCUCAGAAAAGCAACUGAUCAGCUGACCGAUCUGCCCGUCAUUCUCUCAUAUGAUAGACUUGCGAGAGCCCAGGAGACCAUCAUAAUAGGAAAGCAGCCCCUAGCAGAGUCGUGUAAACAAGCGCUAGUGGGGAGCAUGUUUUCAAACGUUCACCCUGGACCAUUAAGAUCCAGGCAACACGCACCUCCAGCUGUCCUAGAUGGGACCAUGCCUGAACAACCAAUCCUUUAUACUUUGUGCAGGAGGCAGUUGAAAAGAGGGAGGUGGAGAUAGUGCGACUGGGCGCGGAGGCCGCCACCAUCAGAGACGUGGAUGUGACGGCCCUGCAGUAUCGCAGCGAGGCCCAGGAGAACCUCAUACUUCAGCUCAACGAGCAGGUGUGGCUUUCAG
rnacentral:lncRNA from 1 species